AUCCGUGUGGUUUCACGUUUUCUCAUUUUAGUACCAUAUAAUUUUAUUUUUCUGUUUUCGUCAGCACUUUCAUUAACGACUCUUCGUUAAAUUAUAUAUAAAAACAUUCAGAUUACUAUAGAGAGUAGAGUUAUUAUACUAUUGGAAGCAUAGAAGAUCUGGUGCUUCUAACUUUUUGGCCCUUAGAUCGGCCUCCUUUAAUUAUUUCUAAUCUUUGAAUUAAUACUAUUAUCCUGUGGGGGACCACUCAACUCUAAAGGUACCGUUUGGUUCGGGUAUAAGCAAGAGCUAGCUAUUACAGGGAUAGGUACAAGUAUGAGAAUAAGAAAAAUAGUGUUUGGAUGAAAAUUGGGUUGUUUCCGGGGAUAAGAAUAAUUUUAGAUAGUUUUUUAUAGAAAAUAAAGGUGUUGGUGGGAAUAACCGAGAACUACUAUUUUCGGAUAAAAAAUUAGCAUUUGGAUAUAAAGGGAGGGAUAAGGGCUUAUUCCUAUCCCUAUCCCCUAACCAAACGCUGCCAAAGGGAACUGCAAUCAUCCCAACCGUACAAUUCUUGAUCCAAGAGUCAAAAAGUUGGAAGCAUCAAAUUUUCUAUUCUUCCAAUAGUAUAGUAGCUCUACACUAUUUAUAUAUAUAGAGAGAGAGAGAGAGAAAGAUUUGUGUGCUAUUAGGAAUAUGGAGGCCUCUGUGCCCUUAAUUUGUUUUCAAUGAUUAAAGUUCCUAAUCGACGAUCAACUACAUUAAACUUGAUCAAACGUAUUUGAAAAUAUUUAGAAAAUAAAUUUUGUAAUUUUUCGAUAUCAUUUAUCUAGUGAUCGAAUGAGUUCAAAAUCAAUAAUUUUUAAUAGUUGAUGUGUGCCGUUUACAAGUUUAACGGUGUAAAAAUAUUUAAAUCUGAUAAAAUUUUGAUAAAAAAUUCUUUAUACUAUCUACUGCAAAUUUAAUAACUCUGAUCGAAAAUUUUAAUAUUAUAUUAUAACUUUUUGUGAGAUUUUUAUUUUCAACUGUUGAUUUUAAGUCCUUUUGAUCACUAGGUAAAUAAUAUUAAAAAACUAUAAAAUUUAUUUUCUGGACAUUUCAAAUAUGUUAGAUCAAAUUUAACGGAGUCGAUGCUCGAUUCGAAAGUUUUAUUAUCGAAAACAACUUAGAAACACGAAAAUCUUCGUACUUCUAAUAACACACAAGUCCUAUUCUCUCUUUCUAUAUAUAGUUUAGUACACAAUGAGUAAUAUUGAAGUCCCCAUCUAAAUCUAGAUAGCUAAAAGGACCUGGCUGGGUAAUCCUAAACCUGAAAAAAUAAAAUUAAGCCAAGAAAGAUUCUCUUAAACUGAAGAUUUGCCAUUGGAUGGAGAUUGAUGCCUCAAACAAAUAUUGCCUAAAGUGAUGAUGCCAAUGUACUUAGAAGAACUGAGAUAAUGAGAUUCUCUUCAAAGCUCUAAGAUUUGCCACAAUCCUUGUGAUAGAAGUACCUGAAACAAAUAUGGCCUCACAUGUUGAUGCAGAUCUUAUCAUAGGAUUCCAUGAUUAUUACCAAACACAACCCACACAGAUCCAUGCCUCCCAUUCACCCCCCACAUCAUGCUGCUAUGAUGCCCUGUGGUGGUCCUCAAAACAAAACCCACCCCAUAUAACUCCUUGCAGUUAAAUAGCUAAUGACAAAAGAAACAAAGAGGCCCAGAGCCCUGGGCAAAACUUGAUGAGAUGUUCCCACCCAUUCACUCACACAACCCCCCCCCCUCCCCCCUCAAAAUCACAUCCCAUCAUCCCAUGUGAGUGAGAAAAAUAUUACAUGGACUUGGUCCACUAUGUUAUCCGUUUCAAAUUAUGUGAAUGAUUCGUUAUCAGCCAAAAACUUAAAAGCGAAUAGAGUCGCUCACUUUUUAAUGUACUCAAAACGAAGAAUAGUGAAAUAAGAGCAAAAUAAAAUGAAGUAAGAAGCUUGAUAUGACUUAAACCUCAAAUCUUGCUGGUCUGAUACUAUAUGCAAAACUCUAUCUUAUCUCUACUUCAAAUUUACAAUGUUAUCCAAAUUCAAAAUUUACUUAAUUUCUUCGGAGAAGCAUUAGAAAAAGAGAGCAAAAAAAAGAAAAGAAAAAUAAUUCUCUACUCAUGUUUGGACAUAGUAUUAAAACAAAAAGAAAAGCUUUUCAUAUUGAAAUUGUAUUUUCUUUCUUUCUAAUUUUGAAAAAACAAAGUUGCUUGUUAUAUGAGUUUUAUCUUUCUUAUUUUCUCUCCUCAACAUACAUUCAGAUUCUAUAAAAAAUAAUAAAAUUCUUUUCUAAUUUGCUUUUUAUAUUUUUUUCUUGUCUCGGCAGAAACCAAAAUAGAGAUGAGUUGAAAAACAGAUUACACUGACCGUCCCUAGCGCAAGUGGCAAAAGGGCUUAGUGGUUGAUAUCCGAGACCUAAGUUCGAAUCCUAGUUGAUUCACAUUUCCGGCUAAGUUUAUUUUUAAAUGAAAUAAACGAAGCGGAUAGCAUGUUACCGAGUGGUGCACAGCUGACGCGGGGUGAACCGAGUCCACGGAAUAAUUUCUCCAUGUGAAGAGAGGAUGAGCACACAAACAUUACAUUCUCCUUCUUGUGCUUUUAUUACUUCCUAUCAGGGUUCAUCAUUCUCAUUUAUUAGAGCAGUAGUUCUCCUCCGUAACCCUCCCUUCCCCCAAGGUCAAAUCCCCCCUGGGGCCCAAGUCCUCACCUUCGUGUCCACUUUCCAACAACUAGAUUCUCUCUCUCUCUCUCUCUCUCUCUCUCUCUCUCUCUCUUAUUUCCCUCCCUUUUUUUAACACCCCAGCCCGGAAAGAUUCAGAAAUUCUUGCCUGCACAAGGUGCAUUCAUUCUUUCUAGUUACAAUACUGAAAAAUCAUCGUCUUAAGAUUAAAAUUUAAUUCGAUAGAUGUGAUCCACGAUACAGAUAAUCUUUUAGAAUAUAUUACAUGGGCCAUCAAGAGCAUUUGCAUUAUAGUUCUAGGAAUAAGAAGCCAAAAUUUAUGCACCAGGUGCUUGCAAGAGUUUCUCCAGAAAAAGGAAUAGAUACAAGGUGGGAAAACCAUUUUAGUGGGGUAUUUUAAUCAUUCCCCUGUUUUUAUAACUUCCCCCUAGGGUUAAAAUAUUCAUAGCUUUUGCUCAGACCCAGACACAGUGAAGUCCUUUUGAUGAGCUGUGCUCUCAAAAUUUUUAUUUGCUUAAAAACCCCACCCUCUUUUCUCACCCCCAUCUCCCCUCCCUCUCUCUCUCUCUCUCUCUCUCUCACAUGCUCUGCUCCUAACUGGUAGUGGCAUCAUCAUCUCCCCUUCCUGUAAUAUCUGAGCAUUUCCACCCCUCUUCAACUCCUCUCCUUGUCCUACCCUUUCUUUGUUUGUAUANCUUUCCCAUUUCUUCUGAGACAUGCUCUUCCCGGCAGCACUAACAUGAGCAGCUCUCUGCGUGCGUUCUUCUAUUUCCUUCUUCUUCUUCUCGUCCUGCUGCUGCUGCUGCCAUCUCGGCUACUGGGUCUCAACUCCGACGGAGUUCUGCUCCUGUCCUUCAAGUACUCCGUCCUCAGCGACCCGCUGUCGGCGCUCGCCGACUGGGACUACGCCGACGACACCCCCUGCUCCUGGAAUGGCGUCGUCUGCAUGGGCUUCCCGCUGUCCGACAGCAACCGCACCAGCAGCGGCGGCGGCGGCAGCGGCGGCGGGCUGUCGCCGACGGUGUCGCGGGUGAUCAGCCUGGUGCUGCCGAACGCGCAGCUGCUGGGGGCCGUCGCGCCGGAGCUCGGGCAGAUCGAGCACCUGCGCCACCUCGACCUCUCCGGCAACGCCCUGAACGGCUCCCUCCCCGCCGCCUUCUUCAACGCCUCCUCCGAGCUCCGCGUGCUCUCGCUCGCCGACAACGAGAUCUCCGGCCAGCUCCCGGAGGCCGUCGCCCGCCUGCAGCAGCUCCAAAUCCUCAACCUCUCCGACAACGCGCUCGUCGGAGUGCUGCCGGCCAACCUCACCCUCCUCCGCAACCUCACCGUCGCCUCGCUCGCCGGCAACUACUUCUCCGGCGGAAUCCCCGGCGUCGCCCUCGAUGCCCUCCAGGUGCUCGACCUGAGCUCGAACCUCGUUAACGGCACCAUCCCGCCGGAUCUCGGCGGUCGGAGUCUUAGGUACCUGAACCUGUCGUAUAACCGGCUCGCCGGGCCGAUCCCUCCGGAGCUGGGAGCUAAGAUUCCGGCGAAUUCCACUAUUGAUCUCUCGUUCAAUAAUCUCACCGGGCCGAUCCCGGAGACCGGAGGUUUCGUUGUGCAGAGCCCCGCGGCCUUCGCGGGGAAUCCGGAUCUCUGCGGCCGGCCGCUGAAGCAGAUGUGCACAAUUCCUUCCACCCUCUCGAAUCCGCCUCCGAAUGUGACGGAUUCGAAGUCCCCCCCGGCCUUCGCGGCGAUACCGAAGAACACAGAUGGGAAUUCGGGGGGAUCGGGGGAGGGUGGCGGCGGCGGCGGGGGCUCGGGGAGGGGAGGAGGAGGAGGAGGAGGAGGAGGCCUACGUCCCUCGACCAUCAUUGCCAUUGCGGGGGGUGAUUUAGCCGGGGUGGGGAUUCUCUUCGUCGUGUUCUUGUAUGUGUACAAUGUGAAGAGGAAGAGAAGGCGUCAGCUGCAGCAGCAGCAGGAGCAAAAUCCGAAGGAGAUGAGAGGACUUGGGUUGAAGAGUGUGGAUAGAGGCGGAAAAGAGAAAACGGCGAUAUCGUCGUCGUCGCCGGAGCGCUGCAGUCUGUCGUGCUGCUUACGAAACAAGAACGGGGGCGACGACGACAACGAGACCGAAGAGACAUCAGACAGCUCGGAUUCGUCAGAAACAGAAGAGGGAGGAGAAGAAGAGAUACAACGCAGAGGGAGAGAGGCAGUGGACCGCAGCAAGUCGCAGGCUCAGCAGCAGCAGCAGCAGGGCGCGACGCUUGUGACCGUCGACGGAGAGAGCCAACUCGAGCUAGAGACCCUGCUCAAGGCGUCGGCGUACAUACUCGGAGCCACGGGCUCCAGCAUCGUGUACAAGGCUGUGCUUGCCGACGGCACGGCGCUGGCGGUGCGGCGGAUCGGAGAGAGCAGCUGCAUCGACAAGUUCAAGGACUUCGAUGCCCAGGUCCGGGCCAUCGCCAAAUUCCGCCACCCGAACCUCCUCCGGCUCCGCGGGUUCUACUGGGGGGCUGAUGAGAAGUUGCUUAUUCAUGACUAUGCCCCUAAUGGGAGCCUCGCCAACAUCUCUUUCAGCAGUAAAUUACUCUCUCCACCUUUCCCUCUACCUAUAUUUAUGCUUCAUCGAACUACAUAGGAUCCUAGGCAAACCAGAUCUUGAUAUUAUUUAUAUGAUUGGGUCGCGAUCUGAAUGAUUAUUACAGUAGCAUUCAGUUACAAACAAACUUCCUGUUUAGAUGAAUGAGAGUUCAACUAAAUUCCAUUCGGUAUUAUUGUUGUUUGGUGAGUGACGAAAUUUCAUUUUCCGUGUGCUUGUUCUCUCUAGCAAGAAAGCUAUAGCAAAUUUGACUGCUUUGUAUUGUGAGAAGUUCUUCUAGAUCAAUCCAAAUCAAUCAAAAUCUUAUCCGGAAAAAAGUUCCAAACUGCAAGAAUAGUAGGAAAAUGAUUUUUCUGAAACAGGGUAGAAGUGAUUCAUUGUCUCUCUGCUUUCAGGAAAGCUGGGCUCGUCGGCGUUCCACUUGAACUGGGAGGCACGGUUGAGGAUCGCGAGGGGCGUGGCGAGGGGGCUCGCGUACCUCCACGAGAAGAAGUGCGUGCACGGCAACGUGAAACCGAGCAACAUCCUAUUGAGUGCCGAGCUAGAGCCGCUGAUCGGAGACUUCGGGCUGGAGCGGCUGGUCUCCGGUGACGGCGGCCCUGGUAGUGCCAGCUACAAACCAGGCGCAUCUGCGCGGUUAUUCGGAAGCAAACGGUCGAUGCAUUCGACCAACAGUCUGCCAGACCUUUCUCCCUUGGCCGGUGUUAGUCCUUGCGGUUCGUCCUCCGCUGCAGCCGCUCCGCCACCGUACCAGGCCCCCGAGUCGCUGAAAAACCUGAAGCCCAAUGCGAAGUGGGACGUAUACGCCUUCGGGAUGGUACUGUUAGAGCUGAUCGCCGGUCGGGUGUUCUCGGAGGUCGAAUUGUGCCAGUGGAACGCGGGGUUCGUGGUGGAGGAGCGGAACAGGAUACUUAGAAUGGCUGAUCCGGCGAUACGGGGCGAGGCCGAAGGGAAGGAGGAUGCAGUGCUGAGCUGCUUUAAGCUCGGGUUCGCGUGUUGCUGCUCGGCGCCGCAGAAGCGGCCAGGGAUGAAGGAUGCAGUGCAAGUUCUUGAGAGAAUUCCUUCUGCCCCAUCAUCUUCAUAAAUCUUUUACUGACCAAAAAUGGAUGGUAAUAAUGCAUGGUAUCAAAAUCUUUCAUGUAUUGUUUUCUUUUAUUUUAUUUUUUUAUAUUUGCAAUUUCAUGUAGAAUUCUACUAAUUUGAGUGUUGCCAUUAACUCAUUGUAGUAACACACAAUGAUUUGUUGGUGUUUGUGUUGUGAGUUUUAAAGUUUAGUUUCUUUAUUAAAGUGUUCUUUUUGUGCAAGAGUGGGGUUGUUUAACCUAAAAGAGGAGGAGGCUGUACUGGGUCAGCAUCAAUUAGUCAAGUUAAAAAGUUAUGUGUUGAUCUAGUCAAAGGGUCCAAAAAAAAAGAAAAAAAAAAGAAAAAAGAAGAAGUACUGGUACUUGAAUUUGUGUACAUUAUAUAAGUCCAAUUGCAUUUAGAACCAGAUUGAAUAGGUUAAAAACAAAAAACAGUGAUGUUGAAAGAACAUGGAAUUUUAGUAACUACAACUCUACAAGGGAUCUGAUUCCCAAAAUCCCUUUAGCAUCACUCUCUACCCAUUAUGACUCUCAAGUCACUUUAAAAACUCUUUAUUUUCUCAGCAUCACUUUAUUUUGAGAGAUUUGAGAGAUUGGGGUUUCGAUUUUCAUCUCGAAAGGAAUCGAAUUUUGUCAAAAUAAUUCUCACUAUGGUAGUUGGAAUCAUCUUUGAUUUCAGAAAUGAUUGAAAAAAAAAAAACUCAAUUUUUUCAUCUAACAGUUAUUUAAAUUCAAAUAUUAAUCUAUAUUUAAUUUUAGAAUAAAUUAUAAAUUUAUAAAUUUAAUUUGAAUUAUGGAUUUAAAUUUUAUUUUUUAAUGUCUUAAGCUCAAUUUUAAAUUCUAAUAUAAGUUUGAUAUUUGAAUUUAGUUCGAAAUUUACUUUUUGACUUUAACAUAGAUUUGAAUUGCAAAUUUAAAUUUUUAAGUUUUAACUUUAGAUCCAAAUUUUGAUUCCAAAUUGGAUACUAAAUUUAAAAUUUUAAAUUUUAAUAUGAAUAUGGUUCUAAUCUUGAUUCCUGCUAUGAACCAAACGAAUAAAGAGUUGUUAUCAUUCUGUUUUCGAUUCCCAUUUAUUUUCAUUACUGUUUCAAUUUUGAUUCCUAUUUGUUUGGAAUUAGAGUCUAUUUGUUUGGAAUGCAGAUGUUUGUGUAAUCAAUUGAGGGUUCCCUUAAUAACCAAAAAGUUUAGAAAAAAAAAAGGAGUGGAAAAAUGCAGAUGCACUCUUAAGGCUUCGUUUGGAAUUGCGGGAAGAUUGCAUUACGUGCGGUGAGAAAGUACGUUGGAAAAAUACUCUGUUUGUUUUCGUACGUAAUAUUGUGUUCCGCAUAUCGCGAAUUACAAUAUAUUUUCUGCGAUUCCACCGAAAAACGCAGAAGCAUAUUCCUAUAUGCUUUUUCCACAAUCCAUUUUAUCUAAUAGCGUUAGAUAAGACUCAAUACCAAACUAAGCCUAAUUGUAGGGUAAGUAACAUAAGACAGUUUAUAUAACUACUCCACAAAUCAGGUUUUCAUCUAGAAAUGCUCAUUUAAUAUAAUUACAGCCAAACACUAGAUUGUGUCAUCAUCACUCAUUCAUCCUUAUAUAAUUGCCCACAUUAUUAAUCACCACUAUAAAAUCCUGAAUCACUAGUUCCUGAUGUGGGAUGGAUGAGACUUUUCUUAUCUAAAUCAUAUUUCAUAAAACUUUUAUACUAAAAUAUCUCCCCACUCCAUUAGGUCAAAAGAGGGGAACAAAGGAAAAAAAAAAAAAAAGAAGAAAAGAACAACAUUAGCCUAAGGUCUAAAGGGAAUAGAAUAUGUGUCACAUGUGCCACAAAGCAUCUUAUCUUUUUAGGAGAGAUGCAUAGUGUUUACGUUGCUUUUUGUUACAUUAAAAAAAAACCCUCAAUGAAAGUAUGUUCCAUUAAAGCUACUGGGAGUGAAGAAUAGUACAUGUACAGCAAGCUGGAUGGGAAUCUAAGAGGACAUGCUCCAGGUGGAAUAUUUUGGUGCUAAGUCACAAAUUAAAUUAAAUUUAGUGUCCUAAACCAUCAUGAUCAAAUCUCUGUAGGCUAGGAAAGAUCUGUUUGUGUACACCAUUGUCUAGCGCAGUUAUCCUCGCGCGGCAAACAUGUAUGAACAAACAAGGGAGGAUUUAGACCGCCGACUUUUUGGAGAAGUAAAUAUGUGAUCAGUCUGGAAGGAUUCUUCAGUUGGGGUAGAUAGGCUUGCUUAAAAAUAAUAAAAGAAAUAUAUUAUGAGAGCGUUGUUUGCCUACAAUCCCAUGCACAUGAAUUUUUUAUUUUUUGCACACAAGGUUUUUUUUUUUUGCUGCUUUUUGGCAGUGGAAUUGUUCCCGUGUGCAUACAUUUUCCGAGCAUCGGGUCAUAGGAUAGUAAAAACUCUAAUUAAGACUAAUACAAUAGUUUCGCACUGAUAUGAUAUUUUUUUUUCAAAAAAAAAUCUAUUCUUCUACUUUUGUGCGGUGUGUGUAUAUAUAUAUAUAUAUAUAUAUAUAUAUAUAUAUAUAUAUAUAUAUAGGCCAUGGUUACUAUACUAUUAUGAGUAUUGGAGCCCUCGUACUCAUAAGUUGUUUUCAAUGAUGGAGCUUCCGAAUCGACGAUCCACUCCGUUAAAUAUGAUCUAGAGUAUUUGAACAUUCUAGAAAAUAAAUUUCGUAAAUUUUUNUCAUAGGAACAACCCAAUUUUCAUCCAAACGCAAAAUUGGUCUAGUUUCUGCUUAUACCUGAACUUGUACCUAUCCCUAGAACUAGCAGUUCUUACUUAUACCUGAACCAAGCGCAGCCUAAGAGGACAUGCUCCAGGUGGAAUAUUUUGGUGCUAAGUCACAAAUUAAAUUUAAUUUAGUGUCCUAAACCAUCUUGAUCAAAUCUCUGUAGGCUAGCAAAGAUCUGUUUUUGUACAGCAUUGUCUAGCGCAGUUAUCCUCCGCAAACAUGUAUAAACAAGGGAGGAUUUAGACCGCCGACUUUUUGGAGAAGCAAAUAUGUGAUCAGUCUAGAAGGAUUCUUCAGUUGGGGUAGAUAGGCUUACUUAAAAAUAAUAAAAGAAAUAUAUUAUGAGAGCGUUGUUUGCCUACACUCCCAUGCACAUGAAUUUUUUAUUUUUUGCACACAAGGUUUUUUUUUGCUGCUUUUUGGCAGUGGAAUUGUUCCCUUGUGCAUACAUUUUCCGAGCAUCGGAUCAUAGGAUAGUAAAAACUCUAAUUAAGACUAAUACAAUAGUUUCGCACUGAUAUGAUAUGUUUUUUCAAAAAAAAAUCUAUUCUUCUACUUUUGUGCAGUGUGUGUAUAUAUAUAUAUAAUUCAGUUUAGGAUACUAUUUACUUUUUCAUACUUGGGUCAUUACGAUUGCAUUGACCACCUACUCAAUUAUAGGAGAGUGGCGCUACUAUACUAUCUAUAAUAUUGAACGCUUGAUGCUAUUGAAUUUUUUGCUAUUCGAUGUACCCGUUUGAUCAUUUUCAUCCUUUAAAUUAUAUUAUUUAAUCAACCAUAUACUCAACUUUAAGAUUAUCCUAACCGCACAUCACUUCAUCAAAAGGCUGAAAUCUGAUAGUACCAAAUGCUCGGUACUAUUAAUAGUAUAAUAACUUAAUUAUAUAUAUAUAGGCUAGGGCUACUAUACUUUUAUGAGUAUAGCCCCCUUUGUACUCAUAAGUUUUUAACCAUUGGAUGAAUAGAUGUGCGGUUAGGAUGAUAGUGGUCUCCGAUUAGGUUAAUAAUGGUCCUCUAGGAUUGAGUGGGUGGUUGGUUGAAUAGUAUGACCUAACGGAUAGAAAUGAUCAAAGAAGUAGAUCUAACGGCCAAAAAUUUAUGAGUACAAAAGGGACUAUACUCCAUAAAAGCUUAUAGUAGGUCGGACUAUAUAUACUAUAUAUAUAUAUAUAUAUAUAUAUAUAUAUUAUAUAUAUAUUAUAUAUAUAUAUCUACUAUAUAUAAAAGCAAACUUUAUAUUCAAAUUUGGGUCUCGUCGACAACCCAUUUUUCGGCGAAAAAAUUAGCGCCCACCUUUUCUCUUUCCGUACCGAAAAAUUUUAAUUAAGAAUAAAAAUAAAAAUAGAACAACAAUGAAUACGUAAGUAUCUAAAUAGAUACUCUAAUGUGGAAAAUCCAUAAAAUAUAAAUUUUUCUAUUUAAUUUCAAAAAGUAAGUUUCUAUAAAAAUUACGGGCUGUGAAAAUCCUAUAAAAGAUUAUUUUCAUUUUUUUAAAAUAUCUUUCUUAGAUAUUAUCAUAUUAAUUUUAAAAUAAUUUUUUUUAGAUAACGGAUUUUAUUUUUCUAUUUAUAUCAAAAAUUUAUUUCCUAACAUAUUUAUUUUUCUAUUUAAUUUCAAAAGUAUUUUGCAUUUAGAGAUUAUGCUUAAUUAUUUACUCAUUUAAAGAUAAUUCUUCUUUAAUUAGCGUGAUUUAAUUAUUAAAUUUUUGAUAACAUAUUUGGCAAUCAUAUAAAAUGGCCUAAAUUAAAAAUAAUUUAACAAAAUUAUAACUUUUUCUAAUAAUUAUUUAUGUGCAUCUUGGCACGUACAUUUUACUAGUUAUAAUAUAUAUAUAAUAUAAUAUAAUAUAUAUAUAUUAUAUAUAUAAAUAUUAUAUAUAUAAUUAGUAGUAAUACUAUCACAUAAGUACCAAGCAUUUGUGCCUAUUGAUUUUUAGCCUUAGAUUGAGAAAUGACCGUUAGGAUGAUGUGGCCCCCUAGUUGAGUGAAGUGAUCUGUAAUAGUAUAAUUUCAACGCGUAAACUAAUUAAAAGGAUUAAAUUUAAUUGCUGUGAAAAACUAUUAGCGCCAAAUCGUCCUGGCGUAUCGUUGUAUCCAGCCGACUCUCUCUCUCAUAUAUAUAUAUAUAUAUAUAUAUAUAUAUAUAUAUAUAUAUAUAUAUAUACAUAUAACAAAAAAUUAAGAUUGCAAAGAAAAGUUUCUCCAAGGCUGGGGGAGCCGUGGCGCUCUUUGCGAAAUCCGAGGUGGAGGAAUUUUUGUUCGUCCGUUGCUGCAAGGGAAGGCCAAGCUUGGUACAACGAAAGUACUACAAGUGAGCAAAUUCAUAAUUUGUACCCUCUACUUGGGAAUAGGAGAUUCUAGUUCGAAUCUUAAUUCGUGCGGAAAUAAAUGUUUGUAUUAGGGCCUGCAGGUAUCUGAGAUCUCGUUUUCGUGCAGGAAUAAAUGUUCGUAUUAGGCCCUAUCGACAUCUUUACUAGAGGAACAAAACGAGAAGAGAACAAAAAAAUAAAAAAUGCAUAAGCUUUAGAAAGAAAGAAAAAAAAAAAUGUUAAAUGACAAAACUCAAUGGAGUGCAAUGUGCGAACUACGACCUCGUGCCUACACUAUACUGUCAUGUAUGUACAUAUUAAUGCUUACACAAAUUUAUCUCAGUCGAAUAUGUUUGAAAAGAUAAGAUAUUUAAAAAGCUAAGUCCAGUAGUUUGAUUAAUCAAUGAGAAUCCCCUACCGUAGGUUAGGUAGUCAUUCCUAGGAAUGUAAAUGGAUACGGGUACCCGAAUUUUAUCUGAAUCCAAAUCCGAACGGAGCGAAUUUUAUCCGAUAUAAAUGGAUAUGGAUUCGAGUAUAGAUAUAUAUAACAAAAUCUGACAGAUUCGGAUUCGGGUAUGGAUAUUUUAAAAAAAUCCGAACCCAAACCCAAACCCGAACUCAAAUAAUCCAAUCCGAACCCGAACAAAUUUAAUAUAAUAUAAUAUAUAAAAAAAAUUCAAACCAUUAGAUCUGAAUCUAAAGGUCAAAAAAAAUUUUAUACUUUUAUAACAUAAACCAAAAUACAUAUAUUUUUAUAACUCAAACCCUAAUAUUCAAACUUCAAAGCCUUCCCAUUUCCAAAGCCGUCUCCAAAUCCCAAGAGUUAAAAUUUCAAAAGAGAACUAAAGAAGUGAUUGCAGAUUUGUGUAAUCUCUUAUUAAUUCUUCUCCAAGAGGCCAAGAAGGUAUUUUGGUUUGUUGCUUUGUCCAAGAAUCACAACCUUAGACUUAAGAGGAAAAAAGGUAAGGAUUGUUUUAAAAAAAAUUGAGAAUUAAAGUUCCUUCUUUGAUGUGGGUUUUUUGAUUCUUCAUAUAUGUCUUCUUUUUCUUAUUUUUUAAGUUUAAUUUUUUAGUUCGUGUGGGUUGUUAGGCAAUGAAAUUAUCUUUUUUUAAAAAAAAUUUUAAAAAAAAUUUGUUUUAUUUUUCUCUUAAUUAGCAUUUUUAACUUUAGUCUUUUAGUCUUAUGGAUUUUUAAGCAAUGAAACUAUAUUUUCGUUUUUAAUUUUUUAAAAUUUUUUAUUUUGUUUUUCUAUUAAUUAAUAAUCUUUUAGUUUUUUUGGGUUGUUGGGCUAAGAAUGUAGUGUUUCUGAGCUUUGGAUAGGAUUGGCUUCACUGUUAGUGACUGGUCGACACAGCUGGAGAGUGUUGGACUGAGUCGGAGUCGUUUCUGCGCGAAAUGGAUGCAGAAAGGGACUCGGCGUACUCAAAUAAGCAAAACUGGAGUUUUGCCAGAUUCGGACGCCCAGAAUAGGGUUUGGGUCGCCCAGAAAUUGAGUGCAGAAUUGAACUGAACUGGAAGUCAAUUCGGGUCCAUAUUUCGGGCGCCUGGAUGUGGGUCCGGAAAUCUACUUUGGAAGUAUCGUUUGCGCUGACACGUGGCUGGUGGUAGGUGAAGUCCGCCGGAGCCGGAUACGGGCGCAACACACCACGAGAGAUGGAACCAAAGGGGAGCAAAUGUACAGACUGGAGGUUUCGGACGUCUAGAAAUGGGUUUUGGGCGUCCAAAAGUGGCCAUUUCUGCAGGUGUAACAGAAUUGCAGCCUUUAUUCCUGAGGUUCAUCUGACCCUAUCUUCACCCUAUAAAUAGCUGAGGAGAGUCCCUGGUGAGCUUUUUUCCUCUCUUCUUCACAGUGAUCCUCUACUUUGCAUUCUAACCCCUCCAAAUCACUCAAAUUACAUCAAAGGUCCACAAAUUCAGCUUGAGGAGUGCUAACUCUGUAGUUUUCCAGCGACGACCUUCGGUGCUUUGGCUCGUGUGUGACAUAGGAAGGUCGGAUUGCCGUGAAACUUGGUUUGCUGGAUUCUAGACUUCCAGAGGAAUCCACGAAGCCUAGAAUUGCAGAUUUUGAUUGAGGUUAGCUUAGUCGAACUCAAGUUCUUCUCUGUUGCUAUUGUUUUGGACAGAUUUUUAGGUUUGUGAGUUUUCUUUGAUGCUAUAUUUGGAGGCAGGAGGAUUUGGGACCUGAGUUUGAUACUCCAUCAUUAUUCACUGGAUUUGGAACUUGCCUCACCUAAAUUGGAGAUUAUUAGGUAAGUUUUGACAUUGGAGUUGAGACAAAUUACGCUUAAGUGCUAAAAUUUGGUGAAUUGAUGGAUUUCGAUGAAUUUUUGGGUAUAGAUCCUUCGAGUAGCUUUGUUGCUGGGUGUGGGUGAUCUCGGCUGAGGCUUCCAGCAAUUUGUGACCUUCUUGCUUCCAGGGAAUCGCUCUAGAGGUGGGUGUUUCAUCGGUUUUGCUCCUAAGUGCUUGUAGUCGACAUGUAUGAUUUCGGUUCUCGUAUAUCAUGUUGUAGCUCAAAUUCAUUAAUUGUAGCAUGUAUAAAAUCUAAAUUGGGAGCAUGAUUAUUAAUUAGAUGAAUAUACAUGUUGGACUUGGAACUUGACUUAGGAGAAAACCAGCGAUUCGACCUGUCAUAUGAUUCUACUACCUGAUUUAGCUCUAGGAGCCGUGUUUUGAUUGCAUCACCGCUGUUUCAGCGCGGUGGAUAUCCGGGAUAGUUUAGAAUGCAUUUACACUCGUGCUGGAAAGCCGAGCUUAUUUUUACAGUAGAGUCUAGGCUGUUUCGGGUUGUCGGGUGCCGUCGGGAUGGACGGUGGACCCAGAUUCCUGUUUUUGAUCUCAGAUUGUGCCGAGGGCACGUGGGUUUGGUUUCUAGACCUCUUUUGACCCUAGCUACUUGACUUUGACUUGUUAGAGCCUGAUUGAGCUCGAGAGAGAUACGCUGCAUACUCGGUUGGGUAGCUCCCACGAGUGCCACUCCGGAGACGGGCGCUAUACUUUCGCGUUGGUGUCGUUCGUGCAUGUUGGACUUGCUCUCCACGGACUGGUUAGUGUGGAGGUAGCAGUAUAGUCGCGACCGGGCGGAACGAGUGUGUUCACAGUCCCAGGGACGGGUAUGAUUACAGUCCUCAUUUAAGAUUGGGUCUGAGUUGAUACUGUUCUACAGAUGAUUAGAUUUAGAGCAUGAUAGUAGUGUGGCAUAUAGCUGUAGAUUUGUUCCAGCUUUCUUUACUAUUCCUGCUUAUCCCUGUAGACUUAGUGGGUGGACCGAUGAGUUUGAGGGCGGUACCCACUAAGGACUAUUUGUUUUUACAGUAGUUCUCAUGCCUUGUUGUUAUCACUGUUUUUGCAGAGCCGUCGCCUUCGGAUGCUGCUGUUGCUGAUCUUGAUCGUGGCAAGGGCGUCGCGAGUUAGAGCCCUUCCAGUCGAGUCGCAGAGCUAGAUGAGCACCAGCUACAGGUAGUUAUAGUUUUUGGGUCUUUACAUACAGUUAUUAUAUCUCGCCAGAGCGAGUGUUUGUAUACCUGGAUGACAUGUAUGUAUUGAACCACAGUUUAUAUAUUUGGUUUAUUUUCCUAGCUGCUGUAUACUACUGUUUGUAGUAUUGUAUGAUUAUAGGUACUUCUACUUUUUCGCUUCGAAUACAGAGAAAAUACCUAUGUAUAUAGUGGGUCUGUUAGCGAGCCCGGAGAAACGAGUAAUCCGGGGCGUGACAAAGAAACUAUCUUUUCUUUUUUUAACUUUUUAAAAAAGUUUUGUUGUAUUUUUUUUUAAUUAGUAUUUUUAAUUUUAGUCUUUUAGUUUUUAUGGAUUGAUUCUUUAGAUCUACAUGCCUUUUUUAACUUUUAUUUUUUUCUUAUGGGUUGUUCGGUAAUGGAGCUCAUAUUUCUUACAAUUUUUUUUUGUAUAAUAUGUUUCAAAAUUUGUUAAAUAUUAUUUUCGGCUUCGGAUUUUUAGGUUAAAAAUUGGGUUUCGGGUUUUUGGUCAGAUUUGGGUUUGUUCCGGAUUCGAGUUCGGGUUUUCCUGUUCGGGUUCGGAUUUUGGGUUUCUGGUUGGAUUCGGGUUUGGAUAUGGAUUUUUAAAAUCCGUCGGGUUCGGGUUCGAGUUCGAAUUUCGAAUUUGGUAGUCGGGUUCGGGUUCGGGUUCAGAUUUUUGAAAACCCGCCCCGAAUCCGACCCCUUGACAUCCCUAGUCAUUCCUAAUGUUUCCUCAAGGCAUAUAGAGAGUAAAAAAUUUUUUUGAAGAAAAUUUUUUUUUUGAGAGAUAGGUAGCAUGCUACCCGUUUCGUUUAUUUCAUUUAGAAAAAAAACUUAACUGAAAUAUAUAAAAAAAGGUCUUUUCAUAAAAAAUUUAUUGGGAUAAUUUCAUACAACUCCUUAUAAACAUAUCGAAUAGCAAAUAUAUCACUACAAAAUUCAAGUUUUCAGAUUUAUCUCUUCAAAAGUCUGAUGAUAUUCAUAUUUGUCCCUCUGAUUUGUUUCCAUUAACUCAUUGUUUAUUUUUUAAUAGAAGAUAGGUAAAAUGUGUCAUCACAAAUAUGUUCUUCCAAAAGCCCUAACUAUUAGAAUUGUGCAAAAAUGAUGUCCUCCCAAAGCUUCCCACUGGUCAUCAUCUUUCUAUAUAAAAAUUAACCCAAUCCACUAUUAUGCAAUCUCUUCUGUACCUCUUCUCUCACAACUUUUUUCCUUUACCUAUCUACUGCUGAUUCCCCGACGCUUGACAUGGGCAAAGUAACAUGCGUCAUUGAUGGAUGGGAAUGAAGAAACCCUAGUUACUGGUUCGAAACUAGCAUGAAGAAGAGAGAGGAAGAGGAAUAGGAAGAGGAAAAAGAGUUCUCAUUGCUAGGGUUUUGAUAGAACUAGAAUUUUCAUAUGAAAGAAGAAGGUAUAAUAUCAGAGGAGUAAGAAGGAUAAUUUACCUCACUCACUAAUCAAGGUUAAGUAUUUUACUUAUAAUUAAUUAUAUUUUUUUUAACGAACACUAAUAAUAGCGGUAUAUUUGAAACCAUUAGGAUUUUUUGCUGCUAUACGAUAUGUUAAUAGGGAACUAUAUGAAAUUAUCCCAAAUUUAUUAGUCUUGGGUUUUUGCAGAAUAGGCCGCAUUUUUUUAUUUUGUACAUUCAAAUCAAAUUUUUAAGAAACUGACCAAAUGUUAGAAAAUUGAGUGCGAUAAAUACAGCGGAAAAAGAAAAUCAAACUUAUUUGAUUUUAAAAACUCGAGAUCCGAUCUCAAAAUACCACGCAAACAUGAUCCUUCAUAUUGUUUAAGAUUAAAGGAGAAAAAGGAAGAUAUAAUCUUCACCUUUGCUCGGAUAGAUUUUCACCGCAAUCUGAUGAUCAUGGAAUUGGUUCUCUUGAAGCCGCACAAGCGUUCAGCCUCUAUAGGUAUCUAACGAGAUCGUCGAUGUGAUCGAUGUCCUCACCGGGAUGUUAGUUCCCUUGCAGAGGACGUCUUUGCUAGAAGAUCGAAGAGAAGAAGAGAGAGAUGAUGGCUAGGGUUUUCUAAAAUCUUCCGUAUCUUAUAAAGAGGGAUAUAAUCCCUUUUAUAAUAAUAUAAUUAACAUUAAGCAUAAGAAUAAAUCUAGGUUUAUUUUCAUCAUUUUCUUAAUUGGUUCAAUCGAUUAAAUCUUAAUUUAAAUCGACUUGAACUCAAUCCUAAUUUGAUCAAAUCAAAUUAAUAAUACAAUAUUUGCACAUAAGUCCUCUCACAACUUACUAACUAUUAGUAAGUCCUCUCUUGCAAUAUUUGCACUUUAAUACCACUAAUUUGUAAUAAUUACAGAUUAGUCCAAUUAUUAACAUAUUGACAAUUAGAUCCUCCGGUGAUUCAAAAAUCGCGAUUUAGUUAUUUGAUCGGUCACAACCUCUUAUGUGUGUAACCCCAUAGAUUCUAUUCUAUCUGAUAGUGAGAUAUAUUCUUAUCAAUAUCAACAAUAUCACUGAAACUCCUUUCGGUGGGUUGAAAUAAUUCCAACUCUGGCAAAUGAGAAUUAUUGAUCAUCUAGAUAAUUCUGAUGAGUCUCACAAUCCACAAUGAUGCCGGCAGCAUGUAGUGGCAUUCCAGUAGAAUGGAAUAUUGAACUUCUUGGUGCAGUUAUCGUGUGAUACAGUCCUUCUAUCAUGAGUCCCGACUAGACAGAGGUCAUAGAAUAGCUCGUCAAACCCCAUCGUCUGUCAUAUGUUAAAUUUAUUCGACUCGAGUUUCUAAUAUCGGAAACCUUUUUUCGCUAUUAACUCCGCCCUAACCAAGAUCUUUUAAACUCGGUCUCAUAAAUCAUAGAACUAACGCCUAUAUUUAUAAAGAGAAAUUGAUUCCAUAUACGUGCACACCAUAUUCCUAUAAUGAACCUAAUACAGCCAACAUAUACUACAAGGACCCGAAUGGCUAGGGAUAUGACCAACUGUAUGUAUAGUCAAACUACAGUAACCUCAUUGUGAAUAGCUGAGGCACCGCAGGUCAAAGGACUAAUCACACUAUUGCAACAUUGAGCAAGUCACUGACGAGUGAGUAGACAUCCAAGUGACUUCCCGCGUUGGUCAUGCUCGGUACCCUUGUUCUCUGACAACCACCUGCACAUUCGCUCUAGUGUUCCCACACUGUUGACUCGAGACUCGUCUAUCCAAAACGGGAAGUGAUCUAUGUACUAAUCUCACAGGAUCAAUCACUGUCUCCGUAAUGAUUCAACGAUCGGGAGCAUUUAGGAAUUAAUCACCAAUGACACAUGUCUCAAAUUCUCAACUCUUGAGAAUAUAUGUCAUCAUCUUAUUAAUUUCUUAGAUGAUUCAUAGACACAUACACAACAUGAAUAAAAAUAAUAACCCAAAUUCAUUCAUAAUAAUUUUAAAUCAAAUAUAAAUUUAUGUUCUAAAAAGAAUACAUGUGUCGGCUUGGUUGGCUUCUAGGGCAUACAUCUAAUACUAAAUACUCUUAUUCUCUCACUCCUAUUCUCUCUUUUCUUCUUUUCUUUCUUUUCCCGCUUCCCCCUUCUCCUCCUCCGUCGCCCGCAAGUCGCUAUCACAUUCUUCAUCCUACCUCACACACAUCUCCAUUAUGGCGGCAGCGUGAGCUCGAACGGGGCACGAAUCACGGUGAUAAGGGCAUGGCUAGCGACACAAUUCGAGCCAACAGGCACAGUUUGAUUAAUGUUAUACUAGUUUAUUAGUGCAAUAGAAUAUAAAAAUAGUGCAGCAUAUAGUCAAAUAAUUUUUUUGCACUAUUUGACUAUAUGUUUCACUAUUUAAUAGUAUAUUAUACUAUUUUAUAGUUUUUUAUAUUUAUCAAAUACUAUAAUAUAUAGCCAAAUAGUGCAGCAUUUUUAUUUCCCUUAAUAAAAAAGGGAUAAAGAACGAAGAAGAAAGAGAAGAAGGACAUCAAUAUCCCUUUCAUCUCCUUCCUUCUCCUCUAUCCCCGCAUGUCAUUGUUGUCGCAAUCUCGUCCUCCUCGACCUCCACCUCGCCAUUCGUGAGAGGGAACCCCCUCUAAGAUCAUUACCCUUGCGUCAACAACCUAGAUCCGCGAUGACAAUGGUGUUAGAAGAUAAAAAGGGAGAAGAAGGGGGAGAAAGGCGGUGAAGGAGGAGAAGAGAGAGGAAGGGGGCGACGACGACGAUAACGACAUCAAAAGAGAUGAAAGGGAUGAGAGAACGAAAGGAAAGAGGAAUGAAUAAAGGCCUUUUAAUCACAUUUCUAAAAUUAGGAUCGAAUAUACAAAAUUUAAAAAAUUGGCCUGAUUUUGCAAAAACGCAAAACAAAAAUUUUUUAUGCAAAUUGGAAAAAAGAGAGAGAGGGAGAGAAAAAUAAUCAAUGAGAAACAUAGAGAAAAAUUAAUUAGAAUUUUUGGGCUAAACUAUUAUGAAUUUGAUUCAGAUGGUCUUAUCUGAUUCACACCGGGUUUUGUUGCAUCUAAUUGUUACUGAAAGAUCAAUCUACUAAAAAAAUAGGCCCAAAUAUAUAUCUAUACUAUAUAUAAAAUCACGUAUUUCAAAUUUCGGUCUAUCGACAAACCCAUUUCAAAAUUCCUAUUUUUUCAUAUGUAAAGUAAAUAAUGUAACGAAACAAAAUUUUAGUUCCUCUCUUUUCUCCAACUAUUAAUAUUUUAUUUUUUAUUAAAUAUUUUUGUUAUUCAAUAUGUUUUUGUAAGAUAAAUAUUUAUAUAUUAUCUCUAUUCUAUUUACUAAUAUUUUAUUAUUAUAUUAACUUUUAAAUUUUGAUUCAUUUGGUUUAAAAUAUUUAUUUAAAUUUGGAUUUUUUUGAAUUAAAAAAUAUAAAAAAUAUAUUCAAUGUAAUACUGCAUGACACCGAUUGUCAAUAUUCAAUAUUCAAUGUAUUACCAAUUGAAGAUCGGUCGAGAUGGAGUCGAAGCGAGGAUUGGAAUAAAGGGAAAAGAGAAAAAUAUCUUUUUUGUUGAGGAAUCUUCGACUCAAGAUGAGCCAAACACUUCUAGUGGUAUAGAAGAUUCGGCUGAUAAGGCCAAAAUAUAUGCUGCAAAAAUGAUUAAAAAUCGACAACCCUAUAAAUGUGCGUUCCUUAAGCUAGCAUGAAAAGUGCGCGUCUCUGUAUGUACUUAUUCUUUUGACGUCGCAAAGACCGAUUUAAUUUUUGAUCGGUUGUUAAAAGGCGACAGAAUUAAGCUCCAGGAGAGUCAAACAUUACCUUCUGAAGAGAAAUUAAAUAGGAGAAAGUAUUAUAAGUUGCACCAUUCGUGGAGCCACAAGACAAACGAAUAUACAACCUUUAAAAAGCAAAUUCAAAAAGAGAUGAACGAGGGUCGGCUUAUUUUUGCUUAUCAAGAAAACGAAAAUAGUAUGAAAAUUGACCAAAAUCUAUUUUCUUCUCAUGUCAACAUGGUGGAUGUUAAAGGGAAGACAUCUGCGGAAGAAAAGUUUGAGCAGGACAUAGUUUACACCAAAAUGGCUCUUCGACUGUGCAUACGAUACAAAGCCGAAAUGACAUGCUGUGACUCGGAGGCGAUAAUUCAAGAGAAGAAACUGUAUAGGGAAUGGAAGGAGUUCAUGGCAUUCUUCGAAGAAUGGGAAGAUCUAUCCGAGGCAGAAAGUGAUCUGGACAAUUAUUCGAGAGAAGAUUCAAACAACUCCGAAGAAGAAGUGGAGUCUAAGAAAGAUCAGAAAGACCUCGUGAUACAAAAGGUCCUGGACGAUUAUUAUCAUCGUCAAACUGAAAGGAAUGAGCCGAAGAAGUUACCCUGAGAUGUCCUUCGGCAUACAACAGAGAUAUCUGGGAUAUCGGCCUAACUAGCAUUAUCAGGCCAAGCUGAGACCCGAGCUCGAAGGGAUGACUGAGGGUGAUAUUGAAUUCCUCGGUCGAAAACUAGUUUACGAACUCGACAUCCAACCCUGGCUGAGACCAUGGGAGGGAAAAGAAAUCUUGAGAGAGUACCUCAGGAUUGUCAAAGUGCCAGCUAAUGUGUCAGUGGAUCAAUGGCACACGGCAAAAGCACCGGCUAGAUAGUAUGGGCCAAUGUUGACAAAAACUCAAAAUGGUCGACAACAAAGGUUACAAGCUGAGGCCCGACAUCACUGGGAGGAAGCUAAAGGAAUGAGGCUGAAUGUUUAAAGAUGGCCCAAGGUACAGCUAUCCUUUCGACUUAUGAAGAACGAUCACGAAAUGGGUGGUUCAACACCUGUACCUUGGUUGAAGCCCAAGAUCGAGCAGUUGGCUCUCGCUGAGCCGACAAAGAAGGUGACGCGAAAAGCAUAGGAAGAAAAGAUCGCCUCUUUGGAUACGAUCAUCAAGCGAGACAGAUGGCCUCCCAAGGAGAGGGAGGUUCAGCCAGAAAGUGACUCUUCAGUCGAAGUAGCCAAAGAAUUAGAGGAGAAGAAACAAAAAGUUCAGGAAAGAUCGGCUGAAGAAAGCUUGGGUGAUGUGAGUAUGGUGUAUGCUCUACUAUUCUCAUUCAGAGCAAAAUAUAUAGAGUUUGAGCAGCAGAUCUAUACAAGAGAGGAGCUAUCAGCAGCUCAACUCCAGCUUGAAUAUGCGAAAGCGGCUGAUGCAGCAAUUUUCGAGAAGCCAUCAGCCCUACAGACAAGGUUUGUUAGGCCUUUAUUUAUAAAGGUUUUAAUAGAUGGACAGCCUGUGGGACAAGUUUAGAUUGAUAGUGGGGCAAUGGUCAACGUCAUGCCUACAUCAUUUUUCAAGAAACUAGGCAAAGCGAAGAUAAACUCAAGCCCACCGAUACGACCAUGAUUGAUUUCACUGGGAACGGUCAACAAGCAGCGUACUCAAGACUGAGCUCACGGUCGGAUCUAAAACCCUUCAGACAGCUUUCUUUGCGGUGGAUGUAGAUAGCCACUACAAUUUACUACUCGGGCAUGAUUGGAUUCACGCAAACGAGUGCGUACCAUCCACCCUGCAUGGAAAGCUUUUCCAGUGGACAGGAGAUCGCGUGGAAAAAAUUAGGGCCGAGGGACGGUCGCAAAUAGUGGACAUUAACGUGGAAGACGUCGGUCAUAUCAACUGGGUCGACACCGACCCGGAUCAAAUCUCGUUUGUGCGGGUCACUAAAGAGGAGGUACAGCUAGUGCUUCUAAAGGAUACAGAGGCAUUGGUGGCCCUGGAAGAGCCACCAGACUGGUUAAAAUGAAACAUCAAAAGCUGGGAACAGAGGCUCUAGACGAGCUUCGGCAAGACAAGCGGACCAAAGAAGUCGGUUGCUUCAUCGAAUCGACCGAGUUGGCCGAUAAAAAAUCAUGUAUUAGAUCAGCCAAACUAGUUGAUGAAGAUUUGUGUGUGAAAUUAGCCGAGUCGACAGAUAAAAAAUUAUGUGAUGAAAUUCUGAGUUCAGGAGCUGAUCUGAAUGAAAACGAAACGACUCAAGAGGUAGAAGAUGUGAAAAAGCCUGGUCAAACUUGCGCUCAAACUACAAGAGGAUCAAGACGGAGUCUAUUGAAGAAUCACCAAUCGAGGUUGGCGAGAAAAAGCUGGAGACUCAAGAUCAGUUAAAAGAAGUGAACUUAGGGUUGGACGAGAACAAAAAGACGACGUAUAUUAGCACAAAACUUUCGGCUCAACAACAGGAGGAGCUGGCGAGGUUGCUAGUAAAAUACAAGGAUUGCUUCGGCUGGAGUUAUGAGCAAAUGUCUUAGCUGAGUCGAGAAAUUGUAGAAUAUAGACUUCCUAUUAAAAAGAGGUACAAGCCUUACAAAAAACUGGCUCGUAGGUUUGAGCCGAGUGUUGUACUUUAAAUUAAGAAUGAAAUUGAAAAUCUUUUAAUGACCGAAUUUAUUAGACCGGCCUGUUAUAUUGAUUGAGUAUCUAAUAAUACCAGUACGAAAAAAUGGCAAACUUAGAUUUUGUAUCGAUUUUAGAAAUUUGAAUUUGGUUACACCUAAAGAUAAAUACCGGAUGCCCAUAGCGGACAUGCUAGUGGAUUCGGCAGUCGGACAUAAAAUUUUAUCAUUUAUGGACGGUCAUGCGGGCUAUAAUCAAAUUUUUAUUGCCAUAGAAGAUGUAGCUAAAAUGACUUUUAGAUACUCGUGGUCUAUUUAGACCUUUGAAUGGAUGGUGAUACCUUUCGGCUUAAAGAAUGCUAGAGUCACUUAUCAAAGGGCGAUGAAUUUUAUUUUUUAGGAUUUGAUCGGUAAAAUAUUAAAAGUUUACAUCGAUGAUAUUGUUGUAAAAUCUAAAUCACAGACCGAUCAUUGGGCUGAUUUAUAACUUGCUUUUGGGCGCAUGAAGAAAUAUAAUUUCAAAAUGAAUACUUUGAAAUACGCUUUUGGGGUUUUAGCAGAAAACUUUCUUGGAUUCCUGAUACACCAAAAAGGAAUCGAAAUAGGUAAAAAUAAGGAAAAGACGAUUAUAGAGUUACCACCGCCUAAAAAUAAGGAGUUGCAGAGCUUAUUAGGUAAAAUAAACUACUUAUGACGUUUCAUAUCUAACCUAGCCGGUAGAAUCGGAUUAUUCACUCCAUUUCUUUGUCUCAAAAAUCAAGAGUAGUUUAUUUGGAUAGAGAAACAACAAAAAGUAUUCGAAAAUAUUAACAGAUAUUUAGCGAAUCCUCCGGUCUUUAUUCCUUCUCAGUAGGACAAGUCGAUGAAGUUAUAUAUAUCAGCUGCUGAAGAAAAUUUAUGGUGUUUAUUGGCCCAAGAAAACAGUAAAAAAGAAGAACAAGCUAUUUACUAUCUUAGCUGACGCUUACUAGAUGUCGAAAGACGUUAUUCGGCAAUAGAAAAUUAUGCUUAGCAUUAUAUUACAAUUUAGGGGCAAUUGUUGGCGCCAUAAAAGUUGCGCCACGUGGUGAACCGGGAUGCACCGUAAGUAUAGCCCUUAAAAGCAGAAACAAAUGACAUAUGGUGCACCGUGAAUAAAGAAGAACACAUCAGAAACUGCAAAAUGGUUAAAGCUUUGCGGUUAAGAUCGGCUAGUAGUGGCCCAAGAAAUCAGGAAUGUGACCGAUCAUGGGAAUAACUGAAUAACAACAGGCGAAAUUAUAAAUAGAUAAGAGACUCCUGACAAAGGGGUCUUUUUCCUCUGUGAACAAAAAAAUCAAUUUUUAUUUCCAUUGCAUUUUACUACUUUCUAGGAGUAGUUUAUCUAUAAUCUUUUAAUUUUUUCUGCAUUUACUGCAUUUUCUAGAAAUAGUUUGUAGAGCAAAAUUUCUUUCGAGAUAGUACGCCGAGGCACACCCUUUUCGAAAACAUUUUCAAAGUCUGAAACAAUAUAUAAGCUUUUCGACUCUUCAGCCGAACAGAAAAUACUGUGCUAUUCCUUGACUCGGCUGAUCUAGUUGAACCGAACUAACUGUGUGGUGUUAAAUUCGGCUGAUUCGAUCCCUCAUCGGCUGAAUCGCUUGAUUCGAUAACUGGUGCAAAUUUCGAAGAUCAUCAUUCGUAGCCGCUCUGUCUCCUCAUGCGCUUCCUGAAGGAGGGUUUUUACUGAGUCAGUAGUCAAAGAAAUUGGCUCGCAACAUAUUGUAAUUUUAUAUAUAACCCCUCUAAUCCUCGGGCCUUUUUUUUUUUUUUACUUGUCUUAUCUUUUUGUUUUUCUUUUUACAUUAACAAAAACUCAAAAGGGGGUUAGUAAAUUCUACAACUAUUUAAUUUUCGGGUUGUAGAUAUUAUAAUUCCUUUUUGGAUUGUAGACUUUAGCAGUUCUCAAUACAGAAAGGCCAAAUUAUAUUUUUUGGUCCUCAAACUAUAGAGUGUAGGACACUUUAGUUCUCAAAAUUUUAAUUUAUCAUAAUAUUAGACUUAAAUUUUUUAAUUUAUUGCAAUCAAAUUAAAAAAAUAUAGUUGACUAAAUAUUAAUGUGUCGCCAAUAUAAAAGUGAUUUGAUAAUGAUAUUAUUGAUGAUAGGAUAAUGAUUAAAAUAUCAUACUAUUUUAUAUCGGCGAGACGUUAAUAUUUAAUAAACUAAAAUUAUAAUAAUAUGUAAAAUUUUAAUAAUAUAAAGGAAAAACUUCAAAUACCACCUAUCUGGUUUCACACUUUCUCACUUUAUUACUCUAUAGUUUGAAGUGUAUCAUUUUAAUACCCUAUGGUUUUAUUUUUCUUUUUCUAUGAGCACCUCCGUUAACUCUCCGUUAAAUCAUAUAUAUAUUUAAGAAAUUUUAGAUACCUCACCUAUAGUUUUUUUAAUAUUCACUUUAGUAUCCCGUCGUUUAUCAAAUUUUUACUUUUAAUACCCAAUGGUUUUGAUUUUAUCACUGAUUUAACGAAAAAAUUAACGAAGAAGAUAACGGAAAGAGAAAAACGAAACCAUAGAAUAAUAAAGUGAUACAUUUUAAAUUAUAUGAUAUUAAAAUGAAAGGUGCAAACAAUAGGAGUGAUAUUUAAAGUUUUUUCUAAUAUAAGUUAUAAUAAAUUAAAUUUUGAAAAAUUAAAGUGUGAGUUGGCCAGAUAGUUUGAGAAGUUAAAUAGUUUUGAGGAUCAAAAUGAAAAUAGUCAGUUCCACUGUUUUCGUUAUUCUCGUCCCUUCACUCUCUGCUCGAUCGCUCUUUUGCUCGGCCAUCAAUGGCGGGAGGGAAACCCACCCCCUCUUCCUCCUCCUCCUUCUCCGUACCCCGCUCCCUCCUCGCCCUCGCUGCCGUAACCCUAAUCUCCCUCACCUUCCUCACCCUCCGCUCCCUCCGCUCACCUCCCCAGGUACCUCUCUUCCCCUUCCCUCUCCCUCUCCCUCUCCCUCUCCUUUCUCUUCGAUCCCUCACCGUCUAGGGUUUCCUCUCAGGCCACCGUCAUCGUGGACGCUGCGGAUCCGAUCUCUUCGUCUUCGCCAUCUCCGCCCUCAUCUUCGGUUUACCACUCCCCGGAGGUGUUUCCCAUGAAUUAUGCGGAGAUGGAGCGGAGAUUUAGGGUUUAUGUGUAUCCGGACGGGGAUCCGGGGACGUACUACCAGACGCCGCGGAAGCUGACGGGAAAGUACGCGAGCGAGGGGUACUUCUUCCAGAACAUUCGGGAGGGCCGGUUCCGGACGGAGGAUCCCGACGAGGCGGAUCUCUUCUUCGUCCCCAUUUCGUGCCACAAGAUGCGGGGGAAGGUAGGGUUUUGAAAUCCUUUGCCCUUUUUUUUUCUGGAUUAGUUGUUCAGUUGGUGUGAGCUCAUUGUUAUUACAACAAUGUUAACCUAGUAAUUUACUUCAGUUAGUAGUAAGUUGUCAUUUGUAAAAGAUCGAAUCUUGAACAGUUUGAGAUUAUCUUGAUAAUGCUAAUGGGUUGACUCCCUCCCCUAGUUUUGAAGUUGCAAGCUUUAGCAACUUUGGUGUUAUUAGGUAUUAGAAGAGCAGAUAGUGAUGAUGACUGAUUACAUUUUAACUCUGCUUAUCACGAAUGCAAAUAAUGAAGCUAAAUAUCUACAUGGUGAGUUACAUUGGCUAUUGAAUGUGGUUGCUUACGUGUAUGCAACUGAAAUAGAUUUGUUUAGAUUGUAGAGGGAAUUUUGGACUGAUCAUUGCCAACUUAUUAUUUUUCUUGUUUGCUGUAAACUGCUACGUUUUGAAAAAUUAAAUGGUCCGAAUUCCUAAAGAUAGUUAGUAAGAUGAGAAUCUUAUACAUCACAUCUCAUUCAUAAAGUGGACUCAUUUAUCAAUCAGCGGGAACUUAUAAUUCUUGUACAAGGUUAGCUAAAAAAAGAAAGAAAGAAAGAUGGUGCCUUCCAAAUAGGACAAGACUGCUUUUUCUUUGUCUCUUGCUACUCAAACUGCAGUUUUCUGUAGGUAAGUUUGUAAAAGAAAUAAUUGAAGAGAGAGGAAUAAGACUGUGUCUAUUUUGUUUUGUGAUACAAUUCAAGAUUUCUUUAAUUUAUAUUGAAUCUAUUUUAGGGGUCAUGCUUUUGUUUAUUUUAUAUUGUGGACUAAACUCAAGUCAACAUCCAUUGCCCUAGAUCAAUUGGUCCAUAGUCCAUGGCACCACUUACUUGUACAUUUAUUGAGGAUGAGUCUUUCCAAAGCAGAUCCAUACAAGCAUAUACUGCAUCUACAUUACCAUGUCCAGAGAAAAGGAACUCAGAUAGAGUUUCUUUCUUAUUUUUGAAUGCCAUAUAGAGCAGAAAAUCCUUGUACAGAAAAAUAUACCGAUGGAAAGUGUCCCACUGGAAUACGACAAAAUUUAUUAGUGCUUCAUAUAAUUGGUGUAGCAAAUGGUUGAUUUGUGCAAUAUGUGCACAAACUGGUUUCUCUUAUAAUUAUUGUUUCGUACAAUUACAUUCAGUAUCCACAUGAUGCAUUCUUAAUUUGCAGGGCAUUUCUUAUGAGAAUAUGACGAUAAUAGUGAAGAAUUAUGUUGAAGGAUUGAUUAAUAAGUAUCCUUACUGGAAUAGGACACUGGGUGCAGAUCACUUUUUUGUCACCUGCCAUGAUGUUGGUGUGAGGGCAUUUGAAGGACUUCCACUGCUUGUAAAAAACUCCAUUCGAGUUGUCUGCUCACCAAGCUAUGAUGUUGGGUAUAUCCCACACAAGGAUGUUGCUCUUCCUCAAGUGCUGCAACCAUUUGCACUUCCAAGGGGAGGAAACAACAUUGAAAACAGGUUAAGUCUUAAUUCUUUUCUAAUGUCUGAAGCCAUCUGUCCUACUAUAAUUCUUACAGGUGAAUAUAAACCCUGCUUCUUUUUUUUUUAUCAAAAAUCUGUCAAUGUAUAACUUCUAAAUAUUCUGAUAGAAGAAAUGUAAAUUCUCAAACUAUGUUCACGUCUCAACAGAAGAACAAUAAUUUGGUUAGGAAGCUGCAUUAAAGCACCAAUUGUAUUUUGUUAAGUUCUUUUUUGAAGCUAGUCCUCCAUCAGGUCUGAUGUUUUGACAUGUUUGUAUAUUUGUGGACGGUGACCAAUAAGUCACACAGUGCAUACACUGUAGGUUAGCUUGUUUGCCAGUGCAUGCAUCUUAAUUCUUAGAAUUUCUCCACGUUCUUGUUGAGCUCCAAUCAUGCUUGGUACACCAUCAUAAGUACAAUAACAAAAAUAUGAGAUACCUGAUUUGUUGUCUGGGAUUUGGUUAUCUGCAGAUGCUUGUGCAGAUGUUAGUACUUGUGAAUUUUUUAUUUUAUAUUCAACCUUGCGCCAGUAUAAUAACAUAUUGAUACAUGUUGAACAUUCCUAUUCUAAGCAAUAAUGUGGUUUCUGGCCAUGUACUUAUAAUUUCGAAAAUUCUAUCCUUUUUAUUUUGGACUUUCUCAUAAGUUGUUUUUUUGAAUCAACGUCAGGACAAUACUUGGAUUUUGGGCUGGCCAUCGUAAUUCAAAAAUAAGAGUUAUUCUAGCCCGUGUUUGGGAGAAUGAUACAGAGCUUGCCAUCAGCAAUAAUCGGAUAAGCAGAGCUAUUGGAGAAUUAGUUUACCAGAAGCAAUUCUAUAGGACUAAAUUUUGCAUUUGUCCAGGUGGCUCCCAAGUUAACAGUGCCCGUAUAGCUGACUCUAUUCACUAUGGCUGCAUUCCGGGUUAGAGCCAAUCUUCCAAUCUUUUGCCAAUGUUUCUACUCUACUUCACUUUUUGGCAGAAUUAGAUUGUGUUGUAGUGUUCUUUUCUCUUGGAACUGAAUGCUACUUUUCCAAUAUUGUCCUUCUGUUUAUACUCACAAAUUGUUUCUUCUUUUUUUCAGUAAUUUUGUCAAAUUACUAUGAUCUGCCAUUUAAUGACAUUCUUGAUUGGCGGAAGUUUUCUAUUAUACUCAAGGAGAGUGAUGUCUACCAGCUAAAGUCUGUUUUGAAGUCUAUUUCUAAUGAAGAGUUUAUUGCACUGCACAACUCCUUAGUCGAGGUACGUCGUAUUGUCAAAUUUCUUGAUGAUUCAGACUUUUACUACUUGGUUGUGUAAUGAUUUCUGGUCAUUAUCAAAUAGUUUGUUGUCUUGCAAGUUUAUGCAACCACUAUACAUCUAUUAUAAACUGUGAAAUAGUGAUUACCUUAUUUAUUCACAUCCUAUUUUGCAUAUUGCUGCUGGGAAGAUGUAUAUUAUUUUAAAAAACAAACAUAUUUAUGAAAAAUUUCUACCAAAUAUUGAUGCUUACAACAAUAUUGAUGAGCAGUAUAUACACAACACACAAAUUACAGAACUGAAGAUCUUAUCUUGUUAUUCUUUGUAAUCAGUGACGAUGACAGCUCCAUUUGCUUGCCAUGUCAAUGUUCUAUAUCUCAAGAGGAACUGAAUCUGAAGAAACACAAUUUUAAAUUAGGCUAAAUUACAUAAAAGCCCCUUGUCAAAAUCCGAAUUUUCACUUUUCCCCCCUGUCAUUUAAAAGCCUACACUUUGCCCCCUUGUAAAAUGAAAAAUAUUCAUGUGUAAAAUGACCAUUUUGCCCCUCACCAUUUUCGUCUCCUCCAUCAUCUUUUUCAACCGCCGCCUCGAUCGGCCGCGAUUCACACCUCGAUCGGCCGCGAUUUCUCUCCAUUUUCUUCUCCACCUGCUCCCUUUCUUCUCCUGCACCCUCGUCGCCCCUCGAUUUCAGCGACAGUAGGGAGGAAAUCGAGGUGGGCGUUGAUGGAGAGGUAGGCAAGGGCAACGAGGGCGAAGGCGAGGCGGCGGAGGAGGGCGAAGGGGAUGUGGGCGAGGGCGAGGCGGCGGAGGAGGGCGAGGCGGCGAGGCGGCGAGCCGGAGGGAAGAGGAGGGCGAGGCGGCGAGGCGGCGAGCCGGAGGGAGGCGAAGCAAUAGGAAAGAGGGCGGAGGGGUAUUUUUGGCAUAAAAAAAAUAUUUUAUAACAUAACCCUAACGGUAGGGGUGAAGUGUCAUUUUACAAGGGGGCAAAGUGUAGGUUUUUGAAUGACAGGGGGAGAAAGUGAAAAAUCGGGUUUUGACAGGGGGGUUUUCUAUAAUUUAGCCUUUAAAUUAAGAUAUUUGGUAAACCAUAGCUAGACUGGAAAUGAUAUCAUAUUCAAAGGCUACAGUUAGGAAUCUUAUUCUUGGAUAUGACGGAGCAAAAUUAUCGGCCUUCUUGAUAGCUAGUUCAAGAUUUUGUCUCUUUUCUUUUCAUCCGAUGCGCUUUCCUCAUCAAUUCCUUUUUCCUAACUACCCAACCCUUUAGUUUUGUGUCAAGUCUUCCUUUUUGAUCAUUAAAUACAUGCCUCAUUGCUAACUUCGCCCUCUAUACUGUAAGAUAUAUGGUUUUGACUUCUUUGCUCUGGGAUCUAAACUAUUGGUUGGGAAGUGUAUUUCUUGGUGUGGCAAUUUCAUUUUGUUGGUUCGCUAGGGUUACUGGCAGCUAUGUUUCAUUUUUCCUCAGGGGUGUGUUUGGUUCUAUGUAAAACUAUGAAAAAUUAUUUUCAAGGAAAAAGGCUUUUCCUUUUACGAUUUCUGACGGUUGGUUAGAAGGAAAGUAAAAGUUGUUUUCCAGCUAUUGUUGCUUGGUUUGUAUGAAAAGGAAAAGAAAAUUUGUUUUCCUUUUUGUAUUUUCUUGUUUGGUUGAUAGGAAAAAGUGAGAUAGAAAUACCUCCUAUAUGUUGGAGGUGCCACUAUUAAAAAUUGAUAUAUUUUGGUGAAUAAUAACAAUUGUAAUAUGAGUUCAAUUAAUUGUAUCAAAAUAGUUCUACGUACUUCUUGUUUAUAAGAUCCCAACAUUGCCACAACCAUUUAUAUGUUUUUUUUUUUGAAGUUCAACUGCUCAAAUUGUCCAUAAAGCAUUUAAAAACAGCAUAAGGACAUGCAUAUAAUGGACAAGAUAUAUGUAAUCUGUCUAAUUCUUAUACCAAAAAGUCAUCUGAACGAUAUGGAUAUAAAGCAAUGGAAUACAAUACUUUAAAAAAAGAUAGAAAUUACAAACUUACAAACAAAAAUAAUCAACAUAUAAUAUAUUAACAAAUAGAGUGAGUCUUCAAAAUAAAACAUCAACUAUUUAACAUCAAAUUUUUAGACAAAUUCUAGUGAAACCAGAACCCAAAAGUAAGUAGUGUGACACCCCAAUAGUCCCACGUCGGAUAAUGUGGGAGAGUAUGAUGAGUUUAUAAGUGACGAACACACUAGUAAUAAUAACUGGACUUAAGUAUUUUGGGCCGGUGGUUUGGGCUCAACGAGUUAUUAUUGCUAGCGGGUCAGGUCAUUGCAUUUGGUAUCAGAGCCAAUUACCAGCCGGAAAUAUGAGAUGGAUCUCAUAUCGCCCGGUGAAUUUAGGACUGUAUGUGAUUGGGCCGAGUUGACAUGGAUGUUAGGGCGCUGACAUGGAUGUUAGGGCCUACUAAACGAGGGGAGGGGAGUAUGUGACACUCCAAUAGUCUCACAUCGGAUAACGUGGGAGAGUAUGAUGGGUUUAUAAGUGACGGACACACUAGUAAUAAUAAUUGGGCUUAAUCAUUUUAGGCUGGUGGUUUGUGCCCAACAAGUUAUUAUUGCUAGCGGCUCGGAUUGUUUGCAAGUAGGUAAAAAAAAUAGCAAACUACAUAGUAGUACCAUCUAUACUAUGCGCCAACUUACAUCCAAAACCAUCAAGUUCCAAAAGACAAAUUACUAUACUAACAAUUUUAAAUACUUAGCAACCAGACUAAAAUUAUUUUUAGAAAUUGGUCUUCCAUUCAACUCGCAUUUCUGGGCUACGAACUAAAAAAAGUUUUCCAACUAUCUUAUUUCUCAAGUACGCAUAUGCAACAAUACCUAUGUGCUUGGGGAUAUUAUGUGACUUUAUAGAGCUCCAUGUCUCCUUUUUGUGCAUAAUCUUGGCAUCCUUCAUUGAAUCUGCUAAUUCUCCAAUCUUUUCCACUAAUAAUAGAAAUUCUGAAUCUGAAUGUUUUUGUUUCUUGGCUUUUGAGGUUGUACCUAUGCUAGACUUGGUCGCCAGUUGAUCAGGAUUUUGUCGUUUAUGUCCUUGAGAAGAGUUGUUGGUGAAAUGUGCUUGCUUUCUUCCGAAUAUAAAUCCUCCAAGCCAAACUCAUCACCAUCAUCAUUGUUCUCUUCUUCAUCAAGAUUAAUAUUAUUUGGAUCAUCCAAUGCAAAUUCUCCAGUUGCUUGAUCAUCUCCGCAUAUGAUUGCUAGCUCGUCAUAGUGCUGAAUAGGACAAUUUAGGUAGCAUACAUCUUUGGGAUGAGCCUACAAGAAUAUAAAAUAAAUAACUUCUUAGUAUAAAAUAUGAAUGAUAUAUGAAAUUUAAGAUGAAACUGAAAAAAAAACAUUACCUGAAUAAAGUCUUGGUAAGAUCCUUCACUUAAACUAAUAGUUUUGCUAACUGGAUCCCAUGAAGCACCACUCAAAACUUUUUAAUUGAGUGAUUCUAGACCACUUCGUCUUGAAGGUGCGCAGCCGAUUUUCAACUUUAGUCCAAUUACAAGAAACUUGGAAUUUGGAUGACAUUGCUCUUGCCGCAGCUACAAAGGCUGGCCUUUUGUAUGAUUUGUCCACUUUCAUACCAAUACUAGCUUGAUGUACCAAAAAUUUUAUAAGAAAGUCGGACAUCUCAUUUGUCCACUUAAAACGUUUUUAGUUCCUUGAUUUACACUAGCUUCAGAAUUAUGCUAAACUGACAUUGAUUGUGUAUUACUAUGUUGCUCCACUAGUGUAAUGACCCGCGCUUCACGGCGGGAGGUCGUAACAUUGAGAGCUAAUAAUAUGACUUUCAUUAUAUUUAUUUAUCACGAAACAUACAGAUAUAUAUAUAUAUAACAUUCACAUUAUGUAAGAUAAAUUAGAGACCAAACAAUACAUGAUUAUAUAUAACAUUCAUAUUAUAUUCAAUCAUUCCUUCACGUUAGUUAAUAAGUAGAGACAUAACCCUUACACAUUCCGAUGCACUUGGUGAAUGGGGUGAACAGAAUUCCUAGUAUAUCAGAAAAGUUGGUGGAGGGGAGGAUGCAUGCAUUCUAAGGAUACGCCAAAGAUUUAGAAAAGGACAAAGAAAAUCAUUCCUAAAUAUGUACUAUGUUGAUUUUUUGGUUUCAUGACCUUUGUGUUUGGAGUUUAACAAUAUUGGGUUAAUAUAUUAGAAAAAGUUGGUGUAGGGGAAAAUGCACUCGGAGAUGAUAAGAAAGGAAAGCAAAAGGAGAAGACAUUCGUAUAUAGUAUGAAAAAUUUUGUAAGAGAAAAGCUGUAUCUUGUGGUGAAGGAUAUACUAUUGUGCUAUUUGUGAUUUAAAAAAAGUAAAAGACAAUUUACAAAUAAUUUUCAUUGGUGAAUUGGAAUGAAAAACAGCAAAUUUCAAUGUUCUGUAAAGUAUAUAGUUUUUUUUUUAUAGGAGUAUCACGAGUGGCUAAAAAAAAAUAUUAAAGGCUUGCAAUUCGAUACCAGAAUUUUUUCUUAGGCCUAGAGUUUAAGUUUCGUGUCAUUCUGACACUCAAAAAGUCCUAGAGGACGGAAAAUACGAGCAAUUUGAUUAACGAAUUUUAGAGAAUUUUUACUGAGGAGACCUUCGGCGACAAAAGAAAAGUUCAGAAUCUGCUAAAAUUUAACGAUGACUUGGUCUAGUUAAUUUUAACGAGCUUGCCAAAAUCAUUUAUUGUUUAACAUGAUACACAGAUGCCAUGAAACAAAAAUGUUUCCAUAGUACAUGGCCCCUUUAACAUAGCCCAUGUGAGUCCCAUGUCGAGGGAGGGGAGAACUUGUGAGGGAGAGAAAACCCAUAUAAAAGAAAGGCCACGUGGCUCGACGAAGGAACGGCAUUUGGUUUCAACUUUAGUAUAGAGUUUAAUAAUAAUAUGACUUUCAUUAUAUUUAUUUAUCACGAAACAUACAGAUAUAUAUAACAUUCACAUUAUGUAAGAUAAAUAGAGACAAACAUACAUAUAUGUAUAACAUUUACAUUAUAUACAACAUUCCUUCACGUAGUUAAAUAAGUAGAGACAAACCUACACAUUCAUGCACCUGUUUGAUGGUGAACAACAAUGCUAUAUAUAUAAAAAGUUGGGGGGAGUAUGCAUGCACUCUAAUGAUAAGAAAGAUAGCAAAAGGAUAAGAAAAUAUUCUAUGUACUAUGGGAUUUUUUGUUUCAUGCGCCCUGUGUUUGAUGUUAAACAAUAUUGGUAUAUAUAGAAAAAGUUGGGUAGGAUAAAUGCAUCAGAAUGAUAGGAAAGAAAGCAAAAGGAGAAGGAAUAUUCUAUGUAGUAUGAAAAAUUUUGUAAGAGAAAAGGUUAUCUUGUGGGUGAGAUACUAUUUCUAUUGGACUUAAAAAAGUAAAAGACAAUUUUCAAAUAAUUUAUGGUGAAAUUGGAAUGAAAACAGGAAAUUUAGAAUUUUCUGUAGGGAAUAUAGUUUUUUUUUUUUAGGAGAUACACAGUGUAAAAAAAAAAAUUAAACUUUGAAUAUAUGCCGGAAUUAUUUUUCUUAGGCUAGAUUUAAAGUUUCGUGUCAUUCUGACACUCCAAAAGUGGGGACGGAAAAUAACAGCAAUCUGAUAAAGAUUUUAGUUGGUAGACCUUUCGGCGACAAAGAAAAGGUUCAGAACUGUAAAAUUAAGAUGACGUUCUUCUGGUUGAUUUUAACUAAGCUUGCUUUUAAAAUCAUUAUUGUUUAACAUGAUACACAGGGUGCAUGAAACAAAAUGUUCCAUAGUACAUGCCCCUUUAACAUAGCCCAUGUGAGUCCAUGUGAGGGAGGGAGAACUUGUGAGGGAGAGAGAGAAAACCCAUAUAAAAGAAAGGCCACGUGGCUCGACGAAGGAACGGCAUUUGGUUUCAACUUUAGUAUAGAGUUUAAUAGUAUCCUGUUAUGGCUACAUGAUUAGACUAGUUAACUAACUAAAAUAUAAAUCAAAUUACAAUAUAAAUCAUAUAACAAAAUACACUGAAUCUUAAAAUAAAAUACAUACCGAAUUUUAAUCAAACAUAAAAAUCAAAGCACAUAUUGAUUUCUAAAAAAAUCAUCACAUCAAAUUUCAAAACAAGAUACAUUACAUAGCAAAUUUCAUUGCACACUACAUACUAAAAUACACAGUAAGUAUCAAAACCAAAAAAUGAAAGUACAAACUAUAUUCUAUCCAAACCAUUAUCACAAAUAUUAAAGUGUAUAGCAACUUACAUAUCCAAAAUCGUAACAAUUUAUAACUCUAAGCUACCUUCUCAAAAAUUAAAAAACAAUAUAUAACUCUACCCAAGGUCUAUAUUAGAGCUAUCUAUACAAAAGUUGAAAGGUUCAAUAAUACAUAUCAAGUAGAACCACAAUCUCUUUUCCACAUUUGAUCGGCAAUUUGAUCCCUUAACCGCCCACUCCCAGUUUUCUUCUCUUUGUUCUCUUGUCGAUCUAGCAUAUGGAUUUGAGUGAGUUUGUUGUGUCCUUUCUACAGUUCUCACAAUUCGAUCCCUAGGUGAUACACCUAUUAUGAAAUUAUGCAAGAUACAACACACAAGAACUAAAGCAACCUGUGUUGGAUAUGGAAAAUGAGGAUAACAUGUUAAAAUGGAUAACAUGUUAAAAUUUUAAAUUGUUGCUUCAAGAUUCCAAAUGGACGUUCUAUGGUUGUUCUUAGUGAGGGGUGUCGUAGGUUGAAUAGCUCCUUUGAGUUUGUUGGAGGAGUAUCUUCACUAAAAUCUUUCAAGUGAUAUCGAGUGCUACAGUAAGGAGAAAUGAAACAUUUUUUUAUGAAAUAUCCUGCAUCAACAAGAAAGUACUUCACUACAUUUCACAGCAACCACUACUUAGUAAAUGGACUAUUAGGAUUAGAAUUAAUUCAAUUAUUAGUAAUCUACCUUCUAAAAUAAGUCCAUUUGGUCUCUCCAACACAUUGCGUAGAACAGUACACUCAUUAGCUGAUCCUUCUCAAUCAGCCAAUGUAUAGGAAAAUAUUAAAUCAAAUCUAACUACGGCCAUAAUAUUUUGAGUAGGUCCUUGGUAUCGUCCACAGAAUUGACCAAUAAUGCUACUAGGUACUCUAGCUGGCACAUGUGUACAUCUAUUGCCCCUGUACAAUCCUGCAACGUAAGAUCGUGCAUCUCGAUUUACUAUUAUCAACUUAAAUAAAAAAAAAAUAUCAAUCACUCUUAAUUAUAAUACAAUACCUUGAAAAAUAGCCAAAAUCUGAAGUCAUUUUUCAUUUUGUCUGGUAUUAUUGCGGCAGGUGGAGACAUAAGCUCAUCUUUGAGAGAUGCAAUAGCAUUCAAUGUCGUUUUAAAAUAUCAGCUAACGGUCCCACCAGAACAACUAAAUUAUUGCCAAUUACUCUAUUUUUUUUAUUAUGCCCAAUUGUGUGUAAGAACAUCAUUAAUUGUUCCUCAACUGAUACAUGGAUAGAAUCACAUAGUAGGUGUGUUUCUCUGAUCAUUUUGCUCAAGUGAUAAAAGGAUUUUCUAUCCAUUCUAAUCAUAGCAAUAGAAAUUCUAUCACUACGGCGGAUUCUAUUUAGAUAAGUUUGUCUAUCCAAAUCAUUAUGUGCGGAUAAUGUCUUAGGAAUGCUUGAAUUUUUUUUUACAACUUUCGCUAUUGCUGCACAAAUAAACGAAAAGGCAAAUUUUUCAAAAUCUUCAGAUUGAGGGGGGGCAUCCUCCAUGUGCAAAUCCAUCUACAAAAAGAAUUAUAUUAUAAUGGUAGCAGACAAAUUUUGAAGUUAUAUAAAUAGCUGAUCAUGCAAAUAUAGUUCACCAAAGUUGAGACAAGUUUGAAGCAAUUUUAAAAGACAAGUAGGUUGCCAAAGAUGUAGGCAAAUUUUAAGCAGUUUCAAAAGAUAAAUAGAUGAAAAUUUUAAACCUAAGAGUCAUAAAAAGAAUCGCAAACAAUAUAGAGUAUGACUUGCCCUAUUGAUAGUCGCAAAAUUUAAAGGAAAUAGAAUUAGAAAAAAAAAAUCAGCAGAAUAAGAGCCAAAGCAUAUUAUAAGUAUUUAAAAAAUUAAGAUAAAAAUGGAAAAAACUUAUCUCUACUAUCACCCGUUUGAUCUAGCUAUCAAAUCUUUAAAAUAUUUGGUUUUUCUACCUAGCCCUGUAAUUUAUUUGAUUUGAACCAAGUAAUAAUUUUUAACUUCAAAAUUUAAAUGCAUCAUAUAUUUUUACGGGCUUAAUUAGCGUUCUUUUUACAAUUCUGCAACUAUAAAUUUAUCAAACUAAACAAUCAAUUUUUAAAUUUUAUACUGGAAGAACCAUCAAAUGACAUAAUCAAACAAAUUGAAAGGUUAGGGAGUAAAAUUAAAUUUUUAACUUGGAUAGUCAAAUCAAAAUGGUCUAUAAUUCAACUUAAGUUCUAUACAUUUUUAACUCAAAAGAAAGAGGAAUUACGAAAUAUUAUUUUUUAAUAGUCAUUGAUAGCAAAUUAAGACAUGUAUUGCAAAUAUACAUUCUAAUCAAAGCGUUAUAGAGCUAGGCUCCUAUGCUUUCGAAAGUACGGAUGCCUCCGUGCUUGUAAGUUGUUUUCGAUGAUGGGACAUCUGAUUUGGCGAUCGGUUCCGUUAGACAUGAUCUACGCUAUUGGAACUAUCUAGAAACUAAAUUUCAUAAUUUUUUGAUUUCGUUUGUCUAGUGAACGAGUAGCCUCAAAAUGAACGAUUGACAAUGAAAAUCUCAUAAAAAAUAGUGAUAAAGGACUCAAAUUUCAAAUCGGAAGUAUUGAUCUUGCUAUUGAUAUGAAGUAGAAUUUUCUAUUAAAUUUUCAUGUAAUUUGAAUACUUCUACACCGCUGAACUUAAAAACGUGCCACAUCGGCCGUUAAAAUAGUCAUUUUUGAGAUCUUUAGAUCGCUUGGUAAAUGAUGUCAAAAAAUUAUAAAAUUUGGUUUCUAGAUAGUUCCAAUAGAGUAGAUUAUACCUAACGGAGCCAAUUGUCGAGUCGGAUGUCCUAUCAUCGAAAACAACUUACAAACACGGAGGUCUCCGUACUUUCGAAAGUACCGGAGACGUACUCAAGUGUUAUAUAUGAAUAACAAGAAGAUACUGCUAGUUUUGGGGGGUCGGGGGUGGGGGGGAAGGAAUAUAUGAAAUGCAUAGUAUUUAUUCAAAUCAUCUAUGUGGAAUUCAUAGAAAAAAUGUAAUAAAACUGUAUGGUAGAAAAUGAAAUACUGAGAAAGAGGCAGACUUUGAUUGCACAAACUCAUCAGUAACUUUAAAGUUUAUUAUAUUCUGGAAAUGGGAUUUCUCUUUAUCUCUACUAAUUGCACAAAAAUCUUCUAGAAGGAAGAGAAUGGCAGCUAAAGUCUUUGUUUUAGAAACCUUGACCUAAGCAAAAUCAAGUACAGAGACUUGGGUUUAAAUAUCUUGACCAUUCUCACUCUUGGGUCGAAAUAGAAUUAAUGUAAUUUUAAAGUCGUAAAUACUACCUAUAGAUGAAAUAGAAUAAGUAUUUAUGGGCAAAGAGAGAGAGAUAGACCUUUGAAGCUAUUGGAGCCAGAAGAAACAAAAAAGUACCUUGUUCCUGAAUUGAAGAAGAGGAAGCUGUAGGUGUGUUUUAGGGUUUGAGAGUGGUGAGUAGUGAGAGAGAAGUAUUUUGCAGGGUGGUGACUUUAGCGUGGGAAAGGGAAAAAAUAUUUUCGUUUUCCCGUGUGUCGCUCGCUCCACUUUUCAUUUUCCACCUCUGCCAGGCGGAAAACGAAAGGGCAUAUUUUCCCUAAAAUAUGUAAAAGUAAUUUUCGUUGAAAAAUUUUUUACGCCGAGCCAAACGACUGGAAAACUGUUUUUCAGCUGAAAAACUAUUUCCGGCCUAUUUUUACAUGGAACCAAACACACCCUCAUGGUCUGUGAGCUAUUUUGAUCUUCUUGGAGCAGUUAUCUGUUUGUACUAGGAAAGAUCCACCACCCUUUGUUUGCCUUGGGUGAAUUCUGAUCGAAAAAUUGCGGUGGAAACCAAUCUGAAUGUAGACACUUCAGUUUCAUUUAUAAUGAGUUGAAAGAAGGCUUAAACACUUCAGUUUAGACUAUAAUGAGUUGGAAGAAGUCUUAGCUUUAGAAUCCAAGUUAACCCAAAUUAGCUUAUGGAAUCUAAUGUCAUUGCCUUGAGAAUCUUUUUUUAUUUUUUUAUAUUGUAAUUUCAUAUCUUUAGUAGAUGAAAAUGAUAGAAAAUCAACUUUAUUCUUUAUAAAGACAGGACAUCACUUUGAUUCCUCAAAAAUGUUGGAAAAAUAUGUCUUUACUAUGACGACUGUUCUGUUUCUUUAUGUUUAAUCUGAUUGACUUGAAAAGUUCUAAGACCUUUUAACAAACAACCGAAUCCAAAUGGACAACAGAAACUGUAACCGAAACCGAAACGGAGAUUUUCCGAACCAUUCUGCAAGCUAUCCUGUCAAUGGAAAUAGCAGCAGUCAUUUGGUGCCAUUGCUACAUUAAUCGGCAAUCACAGUUUAAGAAAAUUGCUAUGUUCAUGAAUUUUCAGUUUGCUACGUAGAACUUGUUUGAAGCAUGAAUAGUGUUUUGAGUGCGUCUUCAGGAUUUAAAGAAACUGGUUGCUUCAUCUUCAUUUCUUCUGACAGAUUAUAUUGUUUAUCAGGUCCAAAAGCACUUUGAGUGGCAUUCACCUCCACAGCCUUACGAUGCAUUCCACAUGGUAAUGUAUGAGCUUUGGUUACGGCACCAUGUUAUCAAGUACUAAGCCUGAGGUCACAUACCACAUCUUUUAUGUCGUGGCUAUUCUGCACCAAGAUUGGAGACUGGAUAAAUAGACAUUUUGGAAAGCUCAUGCCGGCCUAGUCGACUGAUUGUGUUCACUGUUUGAUACAUUUUGUCACGUCUCGAGAAUUGGGCGGUUUACCCUAAGUAACAAAAUCCAAAAUUCGCCAACAAUUAGCACUCCAAUGUCGAUCUUAGCUUCCUGAAGAUACAUCUUGCUUCAUGUAAUGGAUCCAUUAGUGUGAGAAUGAUGAGAAAACAGUGUUUUUAUGUUGAGAAGCUCUAUUCUUUUCUUUUUCUCUUGACCUGGGAGUGCUUUUUUCUCCUUUCACAGCUUGAAACUAUUUAUUUUGUUCAAUGUAAUUAUUGGUUAUCACUUUAUUUAAGCUGAUAGUUUCUCCUGUUGAUGCUUAUAAAGAUUGAUGCAAAUGCACAGAGAUUCAAUUGUUAUACUUGUAAAAACAGUUGAUUAGGAGAUCAAUGAAGGGGUGAGUUCUAUUUUGGUUCUCUCAGAGGCAAAGUAAUAAUGCUCCUUUUUUUUUUUCAUAGAAUAAUCCAUGAAUGUUUGCAAAAUUCGCAAGAAAAUGUGUUAGCUCUGAUAUGCAUUCAAAUAUUACCAUAGUUAUCAAUUAUAGUUUUUAACUUUCUUACCCUAAAAAUGGAAUGAAAUCAGAAGAAUACAUAACAUGUUUUAGUUCUAUAAUAAUUAUACACAGCAUAUUUAUUCGUCGCAGUUUUCCUAUGUUUACCGAAUUUCAGAAUACCAAAAGUUUUACCUGUCCAAAACUCCAAAUUUAUCUAAUAAUAUAUCAGAAAAAAAAAGCAUGACAUUUCGUUUGUAGGUAGUUAAAUAUUUUAAAUUAUAUUAAUAGUAUUGGUCAUCGAUUUGAAUGUUCCAAAAUUAAAAUCAGAGUAGGUUGCAGUAAGUUUAAAUAGUUUCUAAAAUAUAUUUGUUUUGUAUGUACUGCCAAUGUGAUUCAAUUUAUGAUAUAUAAUACUGCCAUUCUUAUUUCUCUAUGUGUAUUUCUAUGAAUUACUUCAUUGGAUUAUAUACAAUCUAUUAACUUAUACUAAACCCCAUAAACUUUAGUCCACCUGAGAGAAUCAUCAAAAAUCAAUAACAAUAUAUAAUUUGAUAGUUUUUUCUUUACACAUAGCGCCCUUUCCUUCCCUUUCUCUACAAUAAUAUAAUUUGACAAUUUCUUCGUUACAUGUAGUGCCCUUUCCUUUCCCUUCUCCACGUGGCCAAUUCUCUCCUCUCCUUCCCAUCUUAGACCUCUCUUCCUUUUUCCUUUUAUUCUUCGUCUCACUCUCCCUCUCUUCCCCUCUUUUUACUGAGCCUCUCUCUUUUCCCUUCAUCUACUGUCUAUCUGUCUCUCCCUUCUUUCUCCUCUCUUUCUUCUCACCCCGGAUGCUCUUUCUCUCUUUCUUACCCCUGUCUCUUGCUCCUCUCUCUAGGUUGGUUGGCCGCUUUUCUCUCUCUAAUUACUCUACUUGUGGAUUGAUAUAGUUUCUUCUUUAUACGUGGCGCCCUUUUCUUCCCCUUCUCCACAUGGCCGCUUUUCCCCUCUCAUCUCCAUCUUAGAUCUCUCUCUUUUCCCUUUUCCCUCUACUCUCUGUCUCUCUCUCUCUCUCUUCCCCUCUUCUUACUAAGCCCCUCUCUCUCUUCUCUCUAUUGUUUGUCUGUCUUUCUCUCUCCCUUCUUUCUCAUCUCUCUUCUCGCCCCGAAUGCCUUUCUUCUCUUUUCUCUCAGUCUCUUGCUCAUACUCUCUCUCUAGGGUGGUUGGCCACUUUUCUCCUUCCGAUUUUUCUACUUUCGAAUUGGACGGCCGCAAUGUCGCUAUGAUUAGGUCUAUUUAUUAUUUUGCUUGAAAUUGCUAUAACCCUACCUAGCAAGGUAAGGUGGGUUGCAAGUAGCCUGUAGCCACUCCCUCUCUACUCUCUCUCUCUCUCUCUCUCUCUCUCUCUCUCUCUCUUCGAUGCUUCCCUCUUUACUCGCUCUGCCCGAUUUGGUUGCAUUGGCGGCCAAUGUGAUGGUCGCGAUGGGGUGGCCUCCCUGUGAUGCCCUUUGGUGAUUCCUUCACUCCUAAACCUACUUUAGCCCAAAAGAUUUUUCAAAAUUUAUGAAGAUUAUUUAUUAGAAGAAAUGCAUGAAGAUUGUUGGAGAUUUAGAUCAAAUGUAUUAUAUUUGGUUUAGAUUUGUAGUCAUCUAAAUUGGAGUUAAAUCCUAAUCUAUUUGGGAUUGGAUAUAAUUUAGAUUUAAUUUGGCAUAUAUGAAUUAUAAUUAGGAGUGUGAUUCUAAUCUAAUUAGAAUUAGACUCUAGUUAGGAGACAGGUAUUAUAUAUACAUGCUACGGCCAAGUUAAUGAUGCAGCGACGAAAUUAAGAAGCCAUCCAUUUAUUAAGUCUACGUUGCUUGGUGGUCCGUACGGCUUGGGUGAUCUCUUUGUGAAGCCAUGCUUAAUUAAGCUCUUAAUUAAGUUCAAGCUCUUCAUGCUUCUUUCGGGCUGGUGAUCACGGCGGCUCAAAUUAAUUCAUGCAUGUUGGUGGUCCGUACCAACAAGGAGCCGCGGCCGGUUAAAACAACAUGCUAAUUAAUUAAGGAUCGAAGCAUGUUGUUGGUCUGUACGGAUGGGUGAGAGAGAGGUCCUUCGUUUGGAGUUUCUUGUUGCGGCAUUUCGGAUCUAAAUACGUUUUGAUCUUUCGAGAGAUCUUCUUUGUACUCUGUAUUUUCGACAUUAAUAAAAUAUUUGCUUCGUCUUCGCCCGUGGACAUAGGCCGUUGGCCGAACCACGUAAAUAUCGGUGUGUUCUUUUUUUAUCUUUUCUUUUCUUGCAUUAAAUUAUUUUCUGGAUCUAUUUUUCGCCGUUUCGAUUUUAACAAACUGGUAUCGGAGCCUUUCUAUUCCCUUUGAGGAUUAAGAUGACGACGAAGUUCGAGAUUCAGAAAUUUGACCGGACUAACAGUUUCGCAUUAUGGCAAGUCAAGAUGCGUGCUAUAUUGACGCAGCAAGGAUUGCAGAAGGCACUGUUCGGAAAAGAAAAGAUGUCCGAUUCGUUAACGGUAGAGCAGAAGGAGGAGAUUGACGACAAAGCUCUUACGGCAAUACAAUUAUGUUUAUCCGAUGAGGUAUUGCGCGAGAUCUUGGAUGAAAAGACCGCUGCAGGAUUUUGGCUUAAAUUGGAGUCUCUCUACAUGACGAAAUCUCUCACCAACAAGUUAUAUUUGAAGCAACGUCUCUUCAUGUUGCGCAUGGCGGAAGGUACCUCUAUUAAGUCGCAUUUAGAUGAAUUUAAUUCUAUUAUUAUGGAUCUCCGCUCGAUAGACGUCAAAAUCGAGGAGGAAGAUGAAGCCCUUUUAUUAUUAUGUUCUUUACCGCCCUCUUAUAAGAAUUUUCGUGAGACUUUCUUGUUUGGACGAGAUACUCUAUGUCUCGAUGAUGUUAAAUCCUCUUUACUUUCAAAAGAGAGAAUUGACAUGCAGAUAAGCAACGAGACAGGUGGAGCUUCAGGACAAGGUUUGGUCGCUAGAGGGAGGUCUCGGGAGAAGGGUUCCGGUAAUAGAGGUACAUCUAGAUCAAAGUCAAAGCACAGGAAUCUGAUUUGUGGUUAUUGUAAGAAGAAGGGUCACAUAAAAGCUGAUUGUUUCAAGUUGAAAAAUAAAGAGCAGCGGAAGAAUAACGGUGAUAAAAAUCAAGGUCAGAAAAACACCAAUACUGAAGCAGAAGCAAGUGUUGCAGCAGGAGAAUCAGAUAAAAAUGAUAUCGUCUUUACAGUUACGGAUAAGACACGCAGACAGGAUGAGUGGCUUAUGGACUCCGCAUGUUCUUUUCAUAUCUGUACACAUAGAGAAUGGUUCUCGACGUACAUGCCUAUUGAAGGUGGAGAUGUAUUGAUGGGAAAUCACUCUAAGUGCACAGUUAUUGGAAUUGGCACUGUUCGGGUACGAAUGUUCGAUGGAGUAGUGAGGACUAUAUCUGAGGUUCGGCAUGUUCCGGAUAUGAGAAAAAAUCUGAUCUCAUUGGGUACACUUGAUACUAAAGGCUUUAAGUAUUCUUCAGCUGAUGGAUUAAUGAAGGUCGCUAAAGGGAAUCUUGUAGUGAUGAAGGCCAAGUUGUCCGACAUGUUAUAUGUUCUACAGGGUUCCACUGUGACAGGUUCAGCAGCGGUGACUUCUUCUUCUAUGUCAGAUUCGGAUAGCACCAGAUUAUGGCAUAUGCGACUGGGCCAUAUGAGUGAAUAUGGUAUGAUGAAGUUGGGCGAGAGAGGUUUACUUGGUAGUCAGAGUUUAGAAAAGUUGGACUUCUGCGAGCAUUGUGUUCUUGGCAAACAAAAGAGAGUCAGCUUUAAGGCCGCAGUUCACCGAACAAAAGGUACUCUGGACUACAUCCAUUCUGAUCUUUGGGGACCUUCUCGUACUCCUACUCAUGGUGGUGCUAGAUAUAUGUUGACUUUUAUUGACGACUAUUCUCGUAAAGUGUGGGCGUUCUUUCUGAAAAGUAAGGAUGAGGUGUUCAAUUAUUUCAAGCAGUGGAAGGUCAUGAUUGAGAAGCAAACUGAAAAGAAGAUUAAGAGAUUAAGGACCGACAACGGUUUGGAAUUCUGUUCGUCAGAGUUUGAAGAAUUCUGCAAGAAGGAAGGGAUCGUUCGACAUAAAACCGUUAGGCAUACUCCACAGCAGAACGGGGUGGCCGAACGGAUGAAUAGAACUCUUUUGGAGAGGGCCCGUUGUAUGCUCUCUAAUGCUGGCUUAGCGAAGAGUUUCUGGGCAGAGGCGAUCUCUACGGCAUGCUAUCUGGUGAAUCGAUCUCCACAUUCAGCACUUGAUUGCAAAACUCCGGAGGAGGUAUGGUCUGGUAGCCCUUCUGAUUAUUCUAAUUUGCGAAUAUUUGGUUGUCCUGCUUAUGUUCAUGUUAAUGAAGGCAAGUUAGAACCUAGGGCUAAAAAGUGCAUUUUUAUUGGUUAUGCAUCGGGGGUUAAGGGAUAUAGAUUGUGGUGUCCUGAAUCGUCUAAAUUAAUUAUUAGUAGGGAUGUCACAUUUGAUGAAUCUGCUAUGUUAUAUCCUAACCGUAAUUCUUCUGAUGAGACCCCGAGUGCUAGCAAGCAGGUGGAGGUAGAGACCGAUGGUAUAGUUCAGUCACAGGAUUCUUCUCAGUCAGAACAAGUUCAGUCGACAGACACCUCAGUAACUGAAACCCCACAAGUUGAGAGGCAGAGCAUUGCUACAGGCAGAGCGAGGAGACAGAUCAAACCACCGCAGAGAUAUGGUUAUGAAGAUAUGGUUGCGUACGCUCUUUCAGUGGCACAAGAUACAGAAGAAGAAGGUGAACCUUCGACAUAUAAUCAAGCUAUUUCCGGUGCCAGUUCUGCAGAGUGGUUGGUGGCGAUGAAUGAGGAGAUGGAGUCUCUCCAUAAGAAUCGCACAUGGGAGUUGGUAAAACCGCCUACAGGCAAGAAAAUUGUCGGCUGUAAGUGGGUCUUCAAGAAAAAGGACGGAAUCCCCGGCGUGGAAGAUACAAGGUAUAAAGCUCGUUUAGUUGCUAAGGGCUACAGUCAGGUAGAAGGUGUGGACUUUAAUGAUAUUUUCUCACUCGUCGUAAAGUAUAUUUCUAUUCGUGUUCUUUUAUCGUUAGUAACUAUGAAUGACCUGUAUCUUGAGCAGUUUGAUGUUAAGACAGCUUUUCUGCAUGGAGAACUUAAGGAGCAAAUUUAUAUGAAACAGCCGGAGGGAUUCAUUGUUGAAGGGAAGGAGGACCAUGUUUGCCUGUUAAAGAAAUCACUUUAUGGCUUAAAGCAGUCUCCUCGACAAUGGUAUAAGCGGUUCGACUCCUUUAUGACAGGUCACGGAUAUUCCAGAAGCAAGCGUGACAGUUGCGUGUAUUUCAGAAAGCUUGAUAAGGGAUCUUUCAUAUAUUUGUUGCUCUAUGUCGAUGAUAUGUUAAUUGCUUCCAGUGACAUAGUUGAAAUAAAUAAAUUGAAGGCUUUAUUUAAGGGUGAGUUUGAGAUGAAAGAUCUUAGUGCUGCUAAGAAAAUUUUUGGUAUGAAAAUUAAGAGGGACAACAAGUCAGGACUACUGUAUUUGACACAAGAGAAAUAUAUAGAGAAGAUUUUAAAGCGUUUCGGGAUGACAGACGCAAAACCGGUGAGCACUCCCUUUGAGGUGCAUUUCAAACUUUCCGCCGAGUUAUCACCACAGUCCGAUGAUGAGCGGGAGUACAUGUCACAUGUUCCCUAUUCUAGUGGUGUCUGGAGCAUCAUGUACGCCAUGGUUUGUACACGGUCGGACAUCUCCUACGCAGUGAGCAUGGUUAGUAGAUAUAUGACCAAUCCCGGUAAGGCUCAUUGGCAGGCUAUUAAGUGGAUUCUGAGAUACUUACAAGGUACCACUAACACUUAUUUAGAGUUUGGGAGGUGUAAGGAUGGUGUGGUUGGAUAUGUUGAUUCAGAUUUUGCAGAUGAUUUGGAUAGAAGAAGAUCACUUUCAGGUUAUGUAUUCUCUAUUGACGGAUGUGCUGUUAGUUGGAAAGCUUCACUACAAUCUAUUGUCACCUUGUCUAUGACGGAGGCGGAAUAUAUUGCUAUGACAGAGAGUGUGAAGGAAGCUAUGUGGCUAAGAGGCUUAUUUGGAGAGCUUACUUCUUAUUGGGAUCUGACGAUUGUUUUUUCAGAUAGUCAAAGUGCUAUUCAUUUGUCUAAAGAUCAAAUAUUUCAUGAGAGGACAAAGCACAUCGAUGUAAAGUUUCACUUUGUUCGGGAUGUGAUUGAGAAACGCACGGUGACUGUUAAGAAAAUUGGUACUGAGGACAAUCCGGCGGAUAUGCUUACUAAGUCCCUUACUAUUGCCAAGUUCAAACAUUGUUUGGACUUGGUGGCAGUUGGCAGCACUUGAGACCCUAUGGGGCGUUUGGAGAAGACGGAACAUGGAGCGUUAAGGAGCAUUGAGGCGAAUUAAAUUCAAGGUGGAGUUUUGUUGCGACCUCGACAUAGCGGCGACUAAACUACUAAUUAAACUAAGGUGGAGAUUGUUAUAUUUGGUUUAGAUUUGUAGUUAUCUAAAUUGGAGUUAAAUCCUAAUCUAUUUGGGAUUGGAUAUAAUUUAGAUUUAAUUUGGCAUAUAUAUAUUAUAAUUAGAGUGUAAUUCUAAUCUAAUUAGAAUUAGACUCUAGUUAGGAGACAUGUAUUAUAUAUACAUGCUACGGCCAAGUUAAUGAUGCCGCGACGAAAUUAAGAAGCCAUCCAUUUAUUAAGUCUACGUUGCUUGGUGGUCCGUACGGCUUGGGUGAUCUCUUUAUGAAGCCAUGCUUAAUUAAGCUCUUAAUUAAGUUCAAGCUCUUCAUGCUUCUUUCGGGCUGGUGAUCACGGCGGCUCAAAUUAAUUCAUGCAUGUUGGUAGUCCGUACCAUCAAGGAGCUGCGGCCGGUUAACACAACAUGCUAAUUAAUUAAGGAUCGAAGAAACAUGUUGUUGGUCUGUACGGAUGGGUGAGAGAGCAGUCCCUCGUUUGGAGUUUCUUGUUGCGGCGUUUCGGAUCUAAUUACGUUUUGGUCUUUCUAGAGAUCUUCUUUGUACUCCGCCUUUUCGACAUUAAUAAAGUAUUUGCUCCGUCUUCGCCCGUGGACGUAGGCCGUUGGCCGAACCACGUAAAUAUCGGUGUUCUUUCCUUAUCUUUUCUUUUCUUACAUUAAAUUAUUUUCUGGAUCUAUUUUUCGCCGUUCCGAUUUUAACAAAAUGGGACGGUUUGUUCACAGCAAGAUCGUAUGUAUCUUAGCCCGACUCUGAAAUAGAGGCACAAUAAAAAUUCAUUAUGAAAAUAGAAUUCAUUUUUUAUAUUAUGAAGAUUGUUUACAGAUUUUGCUAAAAAUUUAGAUGGGAUGGCCUCAAUCAUUUAGGCCUACUGUUAGGUCUAUUUCCUUCUCUAUUUUCCUUCUGCUCUAUAUAUUUUUUAUGGUUAUAUAUGAAAACAAAUAUGGUAUUUUUUUUGUACAUUCUAUCGUACGUAAUCUCGAAAAUUUUAAAUAGAGCCUAUAUUGUUGCAAUUAAAACACAUAUUAUAAUUUAGUUGACCGAAUGAUAAUAUGUCCUAGUGUAAUAGUGAUAUAACAUCAUUGUACUUGUUGAUAUUACAAUAAUUAAAAUGCCAAGUCAUUUUUAUAUUAGCGACACUAUUAUCUAAUUAACUAAACUGGAAUGUAGAAUUUAAUUGCAACAAUCUAAAAAGUUCGAAGCAGAAAUUAUAGUAAAUUAAAAUUGAGGACCAAAUUAUCACUCGCUUUUUAUAAGGACCAAAAAUUGUAACUUAGCCAAUUAUGAAUUUAUGCCAUCUUACUAAGAUUUGAAGAACAAUUAAACACCAAACAUUCUCAUCUUUAACCUUCCACAAACAUACUUCUCCCUCUAUCCCUCAACUACUCAACCAAUUUGGUGAUCAGAUACUGCAAGGGACACCCCCUACCAACAAUCCUAUUCUUUUCUUCAGAUUUUCCAUCAUUCAUCCAUUUAUCACGCGAAAAAAGUAAAUGUGCUUUGCAACCAUAUUUAUAAAAUUUAAUAUUUGCUACUCCAGUUAAUGCAGCAACAUGUAUUACAGUAAAAAGUCUGUCUAGCAUACUAAAAAAAAAAAAAAAAAAAAAAGAAAGAAAAAUUGCAGAGAAAAAAAAUUAUACAUAAUAAUGUAUGGCUAAGCAAAAGUUUUCAGAGUGGUACUUCAUAAAUGUACCAUAAAACUCGAAUUGCAAUGCAAUGGGACAAGGAAAGGUCUACACUCCUUAUAAUCCUUUUAGUGAUUAAAAAUGUAUCUCAAUCAACAUUGAUUGAUUGAGAACAUUGUAGGGUCACUAAACAAUGUCUGUAAAUUUCAAUACUCCCUGCCUAGAAAUCUUAGGACUUGCAAAGGGCAAAGAAGAUCUUCGUGGGGUACACAUCAGUUGGAACUGGAACGGUGUUGGCGAAGGAAAAGGAACAGUGCUGUUGACGCAGCGAUCAAGUAUGGAAAUAUGGUCCAGAUGCCCUAGAUAGAGUUCAAAUUUUGACAGUUUGCUAUUAGGAGCAAACAAAACAGGAGAGAGAGAGAGAGAGAGAGAGAGAGAGAGAGAGAGAGAGAGAGAGCAGUACCACAGCUGCUGCAACACUAGCAAGUGCCACCACUGGCCGUUCUCUUAGCAAGAAUCCGACAGCCAACUGACAUUUUAAGACAAAAUAAAACUCUCGUAUCACAAUAUUUAUGAAUUUCGGUGUUGAGUUAAAAACAGCAGUAAAGAUUAAAUCAUGUGUCUGUACUCAAAAAAUGAUGCAUGUUACAAAACGCAAAUAGGGAUGUAAAUGAGCCCAGGAGGGCCAAAACCAACAGGGCUGGGUCUAUGAUUCAAACAAGCUUUUCUCAAAAAUGGUUAAGUCGAGGAUGCCCUUUUUAUCUAACUUAUCCCUUUAUCCAACAAGGCAGUGCCAUCUCCUAGAGCACACCAACCCCUUAAGAAGAAUUCGCAUGAAGAAGGUUACGAAUUUGUGCCUAAAAAACUAGGCAUAAUGAAUGGGCAAGAAGUAUAACCAAUCCAUCUUUUCCAUCGAGAUGCAUGUAGUGCAAAAAUCAAGACGAGUUUUUCACCUGAAGAGGAAGAGUAAUUAGACCGCCACAGCAAACUCCGGCAAAAAAACAGUCCGCUGAUAUGCCCUGCAUGAAUUUUCAAUUCUGCUGUUAACAGAUUGAAGCAGGACUAAUAGCUAUCUAGUAGUAAAAAAGAAGGAUAAAAAGAUUAUUCCUCAAUAUUUAGCCCUGGUUUAAGAAGGUUUACAAGUACAUAAUAUUGUAUAUCUGGAAGUGAAACUGCUUAGUUCUGGCUUGUAAUCUCAUAUAUAAUGUAUCCGUAUAAAAGAGAAUGUUUAAAAUUUCUUAAACAGCAUAUAUUAACGGCAUGCAGACAAAAGAAUGAUGGUUUGAGUUUUUUAAAACAGAUAAGUACAACAAAAUACAGUUUUUUUAUCCUCAGCCCUAUUAUGUAAGCUUUCUGUGAUAAGUCUGCUCUUUUCUUUUCUUAAAGACAGUAUGUACUGGCAGUCUUUAGGUAUCUAAUGAUAUUCAACUGAAAGAGAAAAGGCCAACAACUAGUAUCGUUAUGCUAAUUGAUAUCAACAAUCCAGAUUCUUGGUUGUAGUGGAGAGACAGUGUAGUGAACUAUGUAAUACUCACAGUAUAUCCAAUAGAAAAGUCAUUUAAGUUUUUCUUAUUAGUUAUGAAGGAAUGACUUACCAAUGCACCGGCUAGAAAUGCUGUAGGAUUACGUACACCAAGUGAAAAGCGCUCAACUGCAGAACAGAAGUAUUACUAAUAAGAAGUCUGCUAAAAUCUACUAGCUACUAUCAAUUGUCUCGCAAUCUUAUGCUUCAGUUCUUUCACAAUCUAUUAACUACUAUGAAAUCCCAUGUCCUUUUGUCCACGUGGCGAUAUUAGCUUAAUUUGAAUCUUUGUGAGACCUACCAGUCAACCUAAUAUAUUUUGCUCAUAUAUUUUUCAUUUAAUUGGUUAAGAGACUUUUCAAAUUUUCUUUUGUGGGACCUAACUACCAUCUUAAAAUAUCUUGCUUAAUUAAUUAUGGGCUUUUGUGGGAAGCCAACUGUCAUUUUAACUUAUUUGCCCAUGGAUCCCACCCGUUAGUUUAUUUUCCUCAUUCUCUUCCUAUUUAAUUUCUUCAGAGACUCUUCAUUCCACCUUCGUCUCUAGCGUCGCUUCGACUCCCGAGUUGCCCUCUCUAGACGGAAAAUUAGGGCGAGUUUAUCAGCCGUCCUUCUUCCCUUCUCGCUGUUUUUGUUAGCGACGCUUCGUUCCAGCAUAUUGAUCCCUCUCCAGUCGCAAUAAUGGUUUGGAUUCAUCUCAUCGGAUAUAUCUAUUUGCCCAAUCUGAAGGGUCAUCUUACGUUAAAUGCGGUAUUUCCCGUUGCUUUUUUUUUUUUGUGCGGCAAAACAUCUCCACUCCUCUGCCAGUUUUCUUUCCUUCUCUGAUUUGGUUUCCACCUUUCAUUCCUGUUGUAAUUUCAAUUUUCCGAAUCUAAAGGAUCAUCUUACGUUUAAUGCGGUAUUUCCCAUUGCCUUUUUUUUUUUUGUGCGGCAAAACAUCUCCACUCCUCUGCCAGUUUUCUCUUCUUCUCUGAUUUAGUUUCCACCUUUCAUUCAUGUUGUAAUUUCAAUUUGUGUACUUAUUGUUUUUUUCUCAGAAAAUACUAAAUACUUUUAUUUUCUCUCAAGAAAUUAACUGCUUAUGGCUCCAACAAUUAAUCAUAUUAACAGGUUCCUUUUUACUUUGAAUUUGAUCUUUUAUUUGUUUACUCCAAUUUUCCUAUUGUAUAUUACAUUUUAAAUUAAUAUGAAUCUUUUUUAUUAGGAAUUUCUUGACUCUGUAUCUACAAUUGAUUAUCUCAAAUUUUGUAAGUUUCUUGGCCUACUUUUUAUGUAUAUAAUUAUUUUUUUGCAGGUUUUUUUACACUGUUACAACUGUAAAUUUCAUUGUAUCUAUGGUUGCCGCUACUGCUAUUUCUUCAUUUGCUUCUGCUUUUUUUUUUUCUUAUUCAAUUUUUUUCCUCUUAUGUAAUUACUAUUUCUUCUUUCUUUACCUUUUUUCACAAGACAUCAAAUAUUUCUUCAAGUUAUUUAUACACCAAAUUUUCUUUUCUUAAGAAAAGAAUUUUAACAUAAAAACGCAAGUUAAAUAUUGAAUAUUAUCUACCCGCAGCAUCGUGCGAGUCACUGCACUAGUCUAUAAAUUAAAUAAGUUGGAAUGCCAAGUAUGACAUGUUAGAUUUUACUCCAUUAUUAUGGCCUUUACGAUCACAUAAAUAAAUAAAAUAGAAUAAAUAAACUUAAUACUUGAAUUUGAAAGGGCGAAAUGACCAAAGUCAUUUACCAACUCAAUGAAUAAGGUGAUUUGAAAAGACAAAUUCAAUGUGUAAGUCAUCACCAUGAAUAAGGUAAUAUGAAAAGACACAUUAAAUGUGUAGAUUAUAACCAUGAGAUAAAGAAUCAAAGAAAUACAUAAAUGCCGGGUCUUCAAAAUCUGACGUGGCGACUCCUCCUUUUUAUUGGUUUUUGUUUUGUAUUUCUUUUUAUUUUUGGCUUCCCCCUUUUCCUUUUGCGCCCUUUCGUGGUUACAAGCUCUGCUGAUUGCCUUCUCUCUUGACUUCUUUGUUGCUUCGGUUUCUAUUUUCUUUUUUUUUUUCCUUUGGUUUUGGGCUUUCCUGUUUUCCUUUUGGGCCAUUUCGUAGCUACAGGCUCCAUCGGUUGCCCUCUCUCUACGAUCUCUCUACUUCACGUGAUAGAUGCCUCUCUCCCCAUGUUUUACAUUGCGGAUGCAAUCUCCGGUGCGAUUGUCUCCCGUUGCUAGUGGCGAUGUGAUGGCCCGUGGAUGCCUCUCUCCCCAUGUUUUACAUUGCGGAUGCAAUCUCCGGUGCGAUUGUCUCCAGUUGCUAGUGGCGAUGUGAUGGCCCGUGAUCGAGCGUUGGGUUACCAAUGAUCAAGUGGCCUAAUGCUAAAUUUCCUCUCCUCCUCGCCUAGACACUCCCCCCCUCCCCCCCCCCAACCCAGGUACCGGCAAAUUUAGCGAGGAUUCUCAAUUAAUGGCUGAGACGAGAUCUGGUAUCUUCGUGGCCGUCGGUUGUGCCAGUAACCUCCACUAGACGGCCCCUCCCUCCCCACAAAAAUCGGGAGUGUAGGGCCAUCGGGGGGCGAAUCUAAUGAGGAUCUCCCCUGGUAUCUCUGUGGCCGUCGGUUGCGCUAGUUAUCUGCGAUGAUGGCCUUGCCGACCAUCAUCAACACCUAUACUAACCUACAUCUGUGUUUGCACGAGGACUAUGCUGAGCAAAUUCUGUAAAUACCCCUAUCUAUUUCUAAGAUCCCCUUUAUAGUUUCCUUCCUUGUCAUAUAUUUAAGGCUCAGUGUCACCAUAAAUAUGGUGAGAUGAAAAACUAUUUGCACAUUCAAUGCGUAAGUUAUCAAAUGGAAGACCUGAAGUCUAAAUGAAUGUGACAUUCUUCGUGGUUAGAUUCAUGUAACUUAGAGAUAAUAAAAGGUUGUCAUGGUCAGAUAUAGUAACU
rnacentral:lncRNA from 1 species